GCCGAGGCAAUGGCCUCUAUUGAUUUCUUCCUUGGCAUUUUUGCUCAUAGCCACUACUGCCACGGCUGCUUAUGAGCCUUACAUUUAUGCCUCACCACCUCCACCGCCUUACUAUUACAAGUCACCACCACCACCAGAAUAUUCUCCACCACCACCUUACUACUACAAAUCUCCACCACCACCUGAGAAGUCUCCCCCGCCACCUUACUACUAUCACUCACCACCUCCUCCUAAGAAGUCACCCCCACCACCUUACUACUAUAAGUCUCCGCCUCCGCCGAAGGAAUAUCCCCCACCACCUUACUACUACAAGUCUCCGCCACCACCGGAGAAGUAUACCCCGCCACCUUACUACUACAAGUCUCCGCCCCCACCCGAGAAGUAUACCCCGCCACCUUACUACUACAAGUCACCGCCCCCUCCGCCACCUUACUACUACAAGUCUCCGCCACCACCGGAGAAGUAUACCCCGCCACCUUACUACUACAAGUCACCGCCCCCACCCGAGAAGUAUACCCCGCCACCUUACUACUACAAGUCACCGCCCCCACCGGAGAAGUAUCCCCCUCCACCUUACUACUACAAGUCACCGCCCCCACCGGAGAAGUAUCCCCCUCCACCUUACUACUACAAGUCACCGCCCCCACCAGAGAAGUAUCCCCCUCCACCUUACUACUACAAGUCACCGCCCCCACCAGAGAAGUAUCCCCCUCCACCUUACUACUACAAGUCACCGCCCCCACCAGAGAAGUAUCCCCCUCCACCUUACUACUACAAGUCACCACCGCCACCAGAGAAGUAUCCCCCUCCACCUUACUACUACAAGUCACCACCGCCACCACCUUAUUAUUAGAAGUCUCCUCCACCUCCCUCUCCAUCUCCACCCCCUCCAUACUACUAUAAGUCGCCACCUCCUCCUUCUCCAUCUCCACCCCCACCGUACUAAUAUUUGUCUCCUCCACCUCCUAAAGGCUACUAAAUAUACAAUGUGUUGUUGAAACAUGUGUGAUCUUAGUUAUGUAAGAAUAAGUGUAAGUUUGUAAGCUUGUUCUAUUUCUGAUUUUUUCUUCAUCAAUGUUUUUGUGAAUAAAAGGAUUUGAGAUGGUAAAUCCAUUUGUAAGAAGUGCUGCUCAUUUUCGUUGUAAAAGUUAUUGUAAGCAAUAAGAUCUCGUAAUUUAAGGUUUCAUAAAAGUUAUAUGUGCAACUACUUUCAAUUUCCAUUGUCAUCUUUUUCACAACCACCAAGCGUAUUACUUCUUUAUAGAUGGAAAAUGCAGAGGCAAGCUUAUUAUUCUUUAAUAUUACCAUUCUUGAUGUGUUUGUUUAUUUAGUUGAAACGGUAAAUAAAAUGUACAUGAAGUACCGCACUGCAUCCAAAUUAAAUUUAGGAUAUAGACUAAGUUCAUGUAAUCUCAAUUUUGUCACAUUAUUAUUGGAUUUUAUAUAAAUAGCUAAUUUCUUUUCCUUCCGAAUUUCGACGGGAAGGAGAAUUUAUUAAGUAAUACAGAGAAGUGCACCUAGUAAUAUUUAAAGAGGAUAUAAUGAGCACUACCUUUCAUGAUGAUAAUGCCCAUGAACAAGUAAGAGAAGCUUAGAGUUUUAUUCCUACUCAAAUCAGAUUCUACGGAGGAGUUAUAUUCGUACCUUUUUAACGCUUUACAUAUAUGAUUAGAGAAUUAUGAGGACAUAAAUUCCGCUAUAAAUUUGUUGUUAUAUUUAGAGGAGUUUACAUGACUGGAGAAUUAUACACACAUAAAUUCUUUGAUGUCCAUUUUAAAUUAUAUUCCAAAAGGGAAAAUGUUUUCCGUUUAUGGUUUAAAAAUAGAAGCUUUGUGCUUUUUUUUUUUAAAAAAAAAAUCUAGAUCAUUCAGUGAAUAUUGGUUGUUAAUUUACUGCCAAAAUACUCGUAAGUUUAUUUAUUUAUUCUGUAAUGCAACUUUUGGGAUACAUAAUAAUCAUAUAAAUAAAUAAACUAUAUUGUAAUAUAUUUCAAUUAACUUGUUGACUUGUAUGAAAAGAGCGUGUCAUUACCUUUUAUGCCUAAUUAAAUUUACAAUUUUAGUCCCUAUGAUUUUUUUUUUUCAAUCAUUAAUUCCAUGCUCUUAUGAGUAGAAACAUAUGUAGAAUUUUGAUAUUUAAGAGUUGGUGGAGUUUCUAUGAUAUUUUGUACCUGUGGCUCAUCAUUUCACCACGGUGGGCAACUUCAUGGAUUUUGUCCUCUAAAAGGUAGCACUCUAACUUAAGAUGCCAUGUUCUUCAGAAAGUUAUCAAAUAGUUGAAUAGUUAUAUUAAGUUUAUUAUUGAUAAGAAUCUUAAUUAACUAGAUAUAGUACUUAAUAUACAAUGUUUUAUUCGUGAAAUUGUUGAACUAUUUUCACCAUUUUUCAAUGUCAUUUUCAGGAUGAGCUAUCAUUUGGAAUUUCAUUUUCUAUGGACUCUCACUUUUUCCCAUAACCACUUUUUUUGUUUAUAUUUUAUCAGAUUAAUUAUUCCUUGUUUGUUUAGAAGGAGCUUUCAUAUUGGAGAAAUACAUUACGUAUCUUAUAAAUCUAUGCAUCUUUACCUUUUUUUUUCCCAAAAUAAUUAAAAAAAAAAAAACCUCACCAAUGACCAAUCCAAUGUUCAAUAUGAAAAGUUUGAAGAAAAAAUGGUGUGAACUAAAACAAAAUAUAUAAUUUUGUCACAAUCCAAGAAAAAAAAAUCAUUAUAAAAUAUAAUUAAGAGGUAGCCACCUUCUCUACAUCAAUUUGUCACAAAACUAUAUCAGUGAGAUAUAUGCAAGACUCACCCAUUGGUACAAAAGAAAAUGAUCAAAGUGGAAGCAAAAAUGUGGUGAUAAUUUAGAUGAUCUCCACUCCCCAUUUAGUUUCAUUUAUUAAGUUAAUGUUUAAUCAAGAGUCUAAUUACUCAUUUUAUUAUGUUAUUAAUCAACUGCCGCCCCUUCCACUGGUUCAUUAUUUUUUAUGGAAUACAAAAAACAGACAAUAAUAUUCUUUGACAUAGCUAGGAAUAUAGCCCACUUGCAAGAGACUUACAUUCCAUCGCUCCCUAAUUUCCCGUGUAACAUCUUAUCUUGCAUCACAUCAGAGACGUGUUCGUUUGCACAGCCAUUUCGUGAAUAUAAAAUUGCUGCCGAAUAAGCAUCUAAUCAAAAGAAUUUGUCAACGGUAUAAAUUAAAAUAUAAAAAACGAGUAAAAGAAUUUGUCAAUAGGAUAUGGGAGGCCAUGGCUUCAAUCGGUUUGUGCAAUGGUCAAUGGCAUAUUUUUGCUCAUCGUCACCACUGAAUCCACUGAUCAUUUGUGCAUGUGAGUUGUUUUUGAGCAUUUAUUUUUCCCUUUAGAAGCAUAAGGAUAAGGCUAGUCUUCUUUUUGGGAGGACUUAUUGCUUCCAUUCGUUAAAAUUGGGCAUGUAAAAUGUCAAGAAAAAAUGGCCUAAGUGGCUAGCUAGAUGAUAUAAUGGAUGGUUACUACUCAAACCUAGCAAUAAAUGAAUGUCCGACAAGCAUUCAAAUGAAUGAAUAAAACCAAUCAGAUUAGAAUAUCUAUUUAUGAUAGAUUAAUGAAAAUACGAUUCAAAUAUAAGGUAAAUAAUCUCUCCAUUAAUUUUUUAUUGUUUCAGGCAGGGUUGCCAAGCCUCUGUCCGGGCUUCUAUAAGCUCAAUUCCAGCUCUCCUAUAUGAUUGAAUUAGAUCGGGCUAGGCCCUCGGACUUUUUAAUUAAAAAAGGUCGAUUUUUAAGUUUAUGAAGUUAAUACACUCACGCUUAUACUUUAAUAUUUUUAUUAUUUGGCUUUUAGAAUAUUAACGUGUAAAUUACUUUUUUUUUUCAAGUGAAAUAAUUAUCACAUUUUGUCUUCUUAGUAUAUAUUUCUACCUUUUUGUUCCUAUAGAUAUUUCCUCAUUUCAUCUUUGGUACUAGAGCGUAGUAAAAAAACACAUGAUUAAAGAUAAAUAUGACAUUUUAACUAACAAAUUAAUUAUUUGUAUCUAAGAUCUAGCUCUAGUGGUAAAGAUCAAUUUUCAUCGAAUUCAAGUCUUGGGUUUGAAUUUAAAUGCAUGGGUAAGUUAAUAAUAAUAAUAAUAAUAAUAAUAAUAAUAAUAAUAUCAAAUUAACUAGCUUUAAUUUGCAAAGGUCUUAGAUAAUCAAUUCGCUUGUAAAAAUAUCAAAAUUUUUUUUAAUCAAUGAAAUUUUCAAGUCUCUAGUUUUAGCACAAGGAAUGAAUUAAAAGAGUAAUGAUAAAUAUUUUACAAUUUUAUCCCAAAUGAUAAGACAUGUCAUGUGUCAUGUAUUAAGUGAUUGAUGAUUUUUUUAUAAAUUUUAAGUGGAUGAAAUAUAUUAUUUCACCAACCAGUAAAUGAAUAUGACAUCAUUUGAGAAGGAAUUUUAUGGUACAAUUUUGAAAUAUUUAUCACUACUCAAUUAUAUACAGUAUAAAAAAUCUAAUAGGGACCAAAAAUAUAAAAACAGAUUAAGAAUAAAAAAUAUAAAAGUCAAUUCCUAAUUAGGAGAAUGAAAGUGUCAUUCCCCUGUAAUCAUUUCACUAGAUAUUAUGUAAAUAUAUUAAGGCAAAAUUUUAAUAGAAAAUUGGUACCCAAACCUAACGUCUUUGACAUUGCUGCCAAGAUCACUCACAACUUACAAGAAUAAAAAAUUGGUAUUAAAUUUAUUAAUGUUCUCAAGGAAUUUUUAGCUUGACUUUACAUUUCUCGGACCCAUUUGUCACAUAACACCUUAGUUCGUUAACAAAGCCCUUUCAUGAGAAUAUUAGAACUGCUGUCGAAUAAGCAUCUUAACAACCCCUUUUUGACAUACAUGCAUGCCUCCUUCUGUGAACAAUUUGAAACAUAAAAUAAAAUUUCAAUCGAUGUGAGGGUUGGAGUAUUUUAUAGCUUUUGACCUCAUUAAUUAUGAGUAAGAGAAUAUUUCUACGUCACUAAUGGUUAAAAUGAUCACUAUAUAAAGGGUAGCAAAGUAUGUUUAACAUCAAGUCAGAAAACACAAUUUUUAGGAAAUGGGAACUCGGGGACAAGCGAGGCAAUGGCCUCAAUUGUUUUGUGCUAUAGCAUUUUUGCUUAUAACCACCACCACCAAGGCAUCGGCUGAUGAUUAUGCCUCAGCACCACCACCAAAGUAUUCUUCUCCACCUCCUUACUACUACAAAUCACCACCUCCUCCUUCUCCCUCUCCACCUCCACCAUAUUAUUACAAGUCUCCCCCACCACCAUCUCCGUCUCCUCCACCACCUUACUACUACAAGUCACCACCACCACCAGUGCAUUCUCCCCCGCCACCUUAUUACUACAAAUCUCCGCCGCCACCAAAGUAUUCUCCCCCGCCACCUUAUUACUACAAAUCUCCACCGCCACCAAAGCAUUCUCCCCCACCACCUUACUACUACAAAUCUCCACCGCCACCAAAGCAUUCUCCUCCACCACCUUACUACUACAAAUCUCCACCACCACCAAAACACACCUUACUAUUAUAAAUCACCACCUCCACCAAUGAAGUCUCCACCUCCGCCAUAUUACUAUAAAUCACCACCACCACCAAAGCAUUCUCCCCCGCCACCUUACUACUACAAGUCUCCACCACCACCAAAACAUUCCCCACCACCACCUUACUACUAUAAGUCACCGCCUCCACCAGUAAAGUCUCCACCACCGCCCCCAAAGCAUUCUCCCCCACCACCUUAUUAUUACAAAUCACCACCUCCACCAGUGAAGUCUCCACCUCCGCCACCUUACUAUAAAUCACCACCACCUCCAAAGCAUUCUCCCCCUCCACCUUACUAUUAUAAAUCACCACCUCCACCAAUGAAGUCUCCACCUCCGCCAUAUUACUAUAAAUCACCACCACCACCAAAGCAUUCUCCCCCGCCACCUUACUAUUAUAGAUCUCCACCACCACCAAAGCAUUCUCCCCCACCACCUUACUACUAUAAGUCACCACCUCCACCGAAGAAAUCCCCACCUCCACCAUAUUAUUAUAAGUCGCCACCACCACCAAAGCAUUCUCCCCCACCUCCUUAUUAUUACAAAUCUCCACCACCACCAAAGUAUUCUCCACCACCACCUUACUAAUACAAAUCUCCACCAACGCUAUCUCUAUCCCCACCUCCAUCUUACAUUUAUAAAUUCCCACCUCCACCAUCUAUAUCACCUCCACCACCACCUCCAUCACUGUCACUAUUGCCUCGCUACUGUUCCAAGUCAUCACCACCUCCUGAAGACUACUAAGUUCAAUGUUCCGUCUUCAAACAAAUUUAAAAUUCAAUAAGAAUAAAUUUGUUCCUUCAGUUGCCUUUUUCAUGAAUUUUUAUGUUAAUGUUUUUACGAAUAAUUUUUAAGAAGCGUUCGGUGUAUCAUUGUCAUGUGCAAUAAAAAUUUUCUAACUUAAUGUACCCAAAAAAAAAUGUUCCACAAGAAAUAUUCUAUUGUUUUAUCACAAAUGUGUUGUGGCACAUGUAAUGCGCCUAGAUAAAGUAAUAUUAUGUCUUGAUGAACAAUCAUGCACAACAAUGAUCAUGUACAUAGUUCUUCCAAUGUCAUGAUAAUGUCCAUGCACAUAAUAACAAACUUCUUCCUUGUAAUAUCAAAGAAAAUGAAUAUACAAGCCUCUUAUUCUCUAAUCAUUCACUCAAACAACAUUGUUUUAAUUUAGGUUUUGAUCAAUCUUAAUGCUCAUAAAUGCUAACUACAAAUCAUAUACAAGAUCAACAAAAACCAUAUUUUAAAUGAAUUAGAAAAACAAACAUUAGACUUAACCAAGUAGUUAACCUUUAUUAUUCUCCUAGGUAGAUUACAAGCUAUCACUGAAAAAAAAAAUCAUCUAAAAUGGUGAACAAAUGCGCUCUAAAUCAGUUGCAUUCAUUUGUUCAGCUAAGCAAUAAAAUAACCCUUUUCCAUUUUAACUUAUAUACUUUGGCAUGGUAACUUUAAAUAACACCCUCAACUUGACAAAUUUUAAUAACCAAAGCGAUCAAUAACUGUAAAUCUUGACAAAAUUUUUUACUUUAGUUAAAGCCAUAAACAUAGUAUUAAAUAAAAUGAAAAAAAAGGCCAUAAACAUAGUGUUGAAAUACCUUUAUACUUGUGAACUAACUUUUGAUGUUGAUUAAGCUCAUGUACCCUCAACUUUUGUAUUAUGAAUAUGCUUAUGCCCUAUCUUAGGUCUCCUCUAUGAACUCCUCCAUGAACCACUUUUUUUUUUUUUUUUAAAAAAUAAAUUCAUUAUGAUACUAAGGUAUAAGCAGAAGUAAAAUUCCUUUAAUAUUAUUGUAAUCAGGAUGUGGCUACCUAGGUGAUACAUGAAUUGGUUAUUUGUACAUUUUACUACAUUUUUUUGAGUUUGCUUGCUAUUUUUCUCUUUGUUCCAAUAAUUCCCACACGAGGAUAAUCUCAUUUUAACAAAGAAAGAUACUACUGAAAUACAACAAAACAUAAAUUCUAAUAUACUAGAAAAUUUUUUUUUCUUUGCCUUUUCAUAUCUUAGAGUUAUGUUUUUAUCCUCUUGUAGUGGCAUAUAUGCAUUUUAACUAGAAUAUUCUUAUUUGAGAAUUAUUAAUAAGAGAGUGGUAGACAAAUGAUACAAAACUAUGCUGCUUCACGAUUAACAACACAUUCAAUCGAGUAACGAUAGAGAGUCAAUUCUAACACCACGAGAAAGCAAACAAAAGUUGAAAUAUUUUAGCGAAUACCUUUUAAAGUUUGAAUUAAUAAUAAAAUUGUCCCAAAAAACUGCCUUAAUGGAAUUAAUGUGGAGAUUUAGUGGUAGGGUGCAUCAAUAUCAUUUUCCAGAAAAAAAAUAGUCAAAAUAUGAAAGGUUUGUUCUGCAGGUGGUUGAUAUUGCUGUACAUUAAUAUCAAUGAUACGUACCAAAUUCUAUUAUAAAAUUCAUUAAUGUAUAAGUAGAAUAUUUAAUAAAUUAAUUCCGGGUAAAACGUCGGUGAUAUGAACAGUAGCGAAGCUGCAACCGGGUUAGCUUUUUUUUUUAAUAAAAAAAUAGUUAAUUAUAAUUUAUGAAUUUGCCUUUAUUAAUACUUAAAAAAAUAAAAAUAAAUUUAAUAGCCCACCCCGAUGCUAGCUAAGCUAAAAAUAAAAUAUAUCGAAUAAAUGGUGAAGAGAAAGCUGUAAUAAUUAUCGUAAUUACAGUGAGAAGCUGUAAUUUUCUUGAACACGCUUUGACGUACGAUUAGCAAAAAAGUCGUCUGUCUAUAAGCAAUUGGCCGUACAGCAUCUUAACUAUUCCGUUGACAUUGUAAUUAAUUAAUUGAUGACUUUUCUAUAAUUUCUUUGAACCAAAUGCAGAUAUUUAGUGGGCAACCCGCAACCCUUGCUUGGCAAAAUAUAGGAAAGAAAAACUUGAAAUUUAUAAAUGUUACAUUUUGUUUGGAUGAAUAAUUUUGAGAUAAUGUUUCAGUUUUAGAUUUUGUUACCGAUACCUAAUUAUAAUAAUAAAAAAUAUUGCAUCAUUUUUUUACCAACAGUUACAAUACAUUUUAUUUUUUUUUCUUCUCAAUAUUUAAACUCGAAUAAUCAGUUAAAAGUUGCUCGAGAAUGUUUAAAAGCCAUUUAAGUAUACCACGUCAUUCAUGUUUUGCAAUCAUUCAAUUGUUAAUAAGUUUCCCAUGUGCUGAAAAUAAAUAAAAAUGCACGUGCAUAUGUCAUAUUGUCUCCGAAACCUCACAGCGGAAUGAGUGUAGUACUUGCAAUGCAUGUACUUUAGACUUUGUAUUUCUCUUAUUUAAAUGAUCAAUAAUUUUUCUUUGUCCUUUAAUUAGACGUCAACAGUCGAAGUUGUGGGCAAGUAGUAGGCUAUAUAUAAUAAUUUCCUGGAGAUCUUCCGUCUUCUAAGACAUUGCAAAUGCCAAACGUGAUAACUAUUUUGAUAAUUCAAAUACUACAUAAAAUAUAUGAAGUGUCAGACAAGUCAAAAGAAUUGAUUCUUCACAAUUGUAUAUACGUAUACACACACUUUGCCCAAAUCCCAUUGUAUCCAGGCUGUAAUUUUUAUAUUAAACGAACAUAUUUUAUUUUAUGUCAGCAAUAUUGAUGCAGGCUGGUGGAACAACAGCUUCAGGAUGGUCAACUACCCUUCGGAUCAUUGCAAGUGGGAUGGCAUCACUUGCAAUUCAGAUGGAACCAUAAUCGGGCUAAAAUUAUCAGGGUAUGAUGUUGACUUCAAAAGGUAGUCUUCGUAAAAUUAUCAUGGUAUAAUAUACGUAUUUAUUUUCGCAUACAUAAAUAAAUAACAAAAUUGUAAUUAAUUGGAUACAACUUCAGCUUUUGGACUGGUUUGUGAAAAUCGGAAAAAUUUAAAAAUGCUCCUCUUGAACAAUCAAAAUCUACUUUAUACGUGAACAAAGGGGAUGAUUCGUAAAGAUAAUUCAUCAAUGUUUGAUUACUUUCAGAAAGAUAGACUUCAUUUGAUCUCGUCCCAAAGCAUAAUUUCACUUUGAAUUUGAAAAAGAAUAAUGAAGUUCAUACGAUGCUGUUGUGACCUUUUUUUUUUGUUUUCUUUUUUUCUCGACGUUGUUUUGUGAAUCAUAAGGGUUAAUUUAGUACGGUGGGUUCGCUUGUAUGAAGCGUACUUAUUGUACCAUUCUGUUGCAAGUAAUGAAAAAACGCUAUAAUUUUUUUUAGGUUUCUACAAGUAUUAUGUUAUCUUAUAUCUAACUGUGCAUCUCUAUUCUUUGCUCUCAGUUCAGGUUCUCUAAAAGUAUAUUAAUUAUGAAAAGCAUUAAAGGUUCCGAAACUCUAUUUUGCGGGGAAAAAGAACCUCCAUUUUUGGUUUUUUAUUAUCAUAAGAGGUUUUACUAUGCUCGUAAUAACUUAAUCGAAAUUAAACAUAUCACUGGUCUACAUUUUUUUAUCAGAUUUUGUGCCUUGCUAAUUAAGAUGAGUAUCACCAUCAAAUCAACAAGCUUAUACCUUCAAAGAAAAAUAGACUAUAAGUCGGGAGAAAGAAGAAGAAAAAAAAAAAGAAGCUUCGCAAUUUAUGCUGUUGGUUGUGAGUUCAUGAAACAAAUAAAAAUAUGAAAUCAAACAUUUAUUCAAAAUUUAAAAUUAAAAAAAAAACUCUAUAUCUACAGUAAUCUGUUCAAACCACAUAGGUGGAGCAAUAUAGUUCCAAGACGUGGUUUUAAAACAUGUCUUUGUGAUAAACAAUAUCGUGAUACUUGCGCCAAUUCCCAUGGCAAUAAUUGCCUACAUUUAUCCAAGAUCCAUGGCCAGGUUUAGAAUGUGCUAGUCUUCUUUCACUUUCAUAAAUAACCACUACUAGGUAAUCAGAGUGUCGGUCUAAAUUUUUCGGAGAUACAACGUCAAUGUAUGUGCCCGGAGUUGAAGCUGAACGCGCUUAAAUAUGUUCGGAAUUUGAAGUUGAACGCCUGGAAAAGGAUGCAGACUGAAGAAAGGCAAUUCCUGGAAUUUGUCUUUGGUAAGAAAACAUGGCUGCUUAUGCCCUUUGAAAGACUGAAGAAACCAAAUUGAUUAUUGCUGCAAUUUAGUGGCACAUGUACGAGGAGAGGCAUCCAAUUAAACUUGUUCAUAAAAGUAUUGCUGAUAGUUGCAGCCGAUCUCCAGACAAAAUCUUCGUACAAUUUUAUCCGCCAGCAAUUUCGACCAAGAGACCUUGAUGCAGUUCAGACCAAUUCGCCAGUUGAACAUCAAGUUGCCUAGGCAUUGAGAAUUAGGUCAAUAAAAUAUAUCCUGGGUCACUUACAAAAGAUGAAAUAAGUGAAAAAGGAAAGAUGACGUAAUAAUUUCUUAGUGAGAAAAGUUAGUUAAUUUUCAAUUGCUUUCAUUGUUUUGAUAAUUUUCAAAACAUUUCAUUGCUUUCAUUGCGUAAUUAAGCUUUUUUUGCUUCAAAAUAUUUCAAAUUGUGUUUGUGGGACUACUAAACAAUUAGGACACAACAAUGUUUCGUUCUGGUCUUUUUUUUUUUUUACUUUUUAAUUUAUUUUAAGAAAAUCUUUGUCCAUCUCUCAUCCUGCCAAAUAUAUCGUCUCGUCUUGUUAUCUAGAAUAAUUCUUCAUGCAUCAAUGAGUUUUGACAAAUUUUUAUCUUUUAAAAGUUGUUGUAAUUCAAUAUAGCUAAAAUCUUAAAUACAUACAUGUAGAAUAAUCUAAGCAUUACCUUAUUCGGGGAAAAUCGAGAUUAGAAUCAAUCAAAGCAAUGAUACCUUAUAUCAGUGAGAUAUAUGCAAGACUCACCCAUUGGUACAAACGAAAAUGAUCAAAGUGGAAGCAAAAAUGGAAUCCUCAAAUGUGGUGAUAAUUUAGAUGAUCUCCACUCUCCAUUUGGUUUCAUCUAAUAAGUUAGUGUUUAAUUAAGAAUUUAUUACUCAUUUUAUUAUGAUAUUAAUCAACUGCCGUCCCUUCCAUUAGUUCAUUAUUUUUGAUGGAUUACGAAAGACAGACAAUAAAAUUCUCCAAAACUGUUGUAAGAGUAAUAUUGUAAAAGUUACAUAAAAGUGAGGAUAAGGAUAAUUUGAGGUAUGUUUCAAGAUAUAAAGAUUAAAUAAAUUCUUAACUCAAAAUAAAGAGAUUUAUUUUUUUUAAAAGAGAUUAAAAUGUCAUGAUAAAUAAAUAAGGGAGGUGAUAUUCUGGGCUCUCCCCUGGCUUUUUGUGAUAACAUCUUAAAUUAAUAUAAAUAGUUAAAAUUUUAUUAAAAAAUAAAUUUUUACCUAAUACUCUUUGACAUAGCUAGGAAUAUAGCCUACUUGCAAGAGACUUACAUUCGUUUGCACAGCCCUUUCGUGAAUAUAAAAUUGCUGCCGAAUAAGCAUCUAAUUAAAAGAAUUAGGAAUUUGUCAACGGUAUAAAUUAAAUAUAAAAAACGAGUAAAAGAAUUUGUCAAUGGGAUAUGGGGGGCUAUGGCUUCAAUCGUAGGGGUGGGCAAAUUUCGGAUUCCGAAUCCGAUCGGAUUUUGGAUAAUUCGGAUUGGGAAAAAAUCCAUCCAAAUUCAAUCCGAACCUUAAAUCUGUUUCGAUCCGAGAUAAUUUCGGAUCCGGAUCAGAUUCGGAUGAGUUUGAAUUUCAGAUUAUAUUUCAAGUUCGGAUUAUAUUUUGGAUUCGGAUUAAUUCGGGUUUGGGACCUUUUUACAAUUCUCACAAAAAAAUUAUGAAAUUUAUAAUUAAUGAAAAAUAAUUUCCAUGAUGCUGUCAACAAUAAUUAAUAUUUUGAAAACGCAAUAACGGAAUUUUCAAAAAAAAGAAAAAGAAAACACAGGAACGGUAUUGAUAAAGAAUUUUCAUUAGCCAUUUGUGACUGCUAACUAAAUUGUAACAACUAAGUAAAAUAUAAUAAUAAUAAUAAUACAUGCGGGUAUAUUCAAAGCAACUAAAUCACUUGCGAAUGAUCAAGACAAAUCGUAUAAACAAGUAAAAAAUUCAAAGUUUCAAACGCAAAUCGUCGGGGGCUAUCGGAUUAGUGGAUUACCAUUAACAAGACGAGGUUUAUGUCGGUGUGAGUUGCUCAUUGUGGGUCUGGAUGAUGUCGCGAUGGCUGGGUUUGUGCCAACUAUGAUCCAGCUAGGUUUGUAUCGAAUCUGAUCUCGUCUAGAGGACGUUGUGGCGGCUGGGUUUGUGUCGAAUUCAUUCGGUUUGUCUCGUCGGCGACAUGGUUGUUGGUUGGCUCGUCAGGUUGUGGCCCGUGGGUGUGGUGUGGUUUGUUGUCGUGGAUUGACUUAUCAAAGGGCGUGCGACGAUGGUGUGUGGUUUUGUCAUUUGGAAAUUGAGUUUUGAUUUUUCAUUUUCGUUUUUUUAAAAAAAAAUUUUUGGAUUAUUCGGAUUGAACUGAAUCUUAUCCGAUCCAAAUCAAAUCCGAUCAGAUUACAAAAAUUUCAUCCGAUUGGAUUUUAAAGCAAAUCCAAAUCCGAUCCGAACAAAUUCGGAUCGAAUUGGAUUAGAUCGGAUCUAUCCGAAUCUGAUCCAAUGUCCACCCCUAUUCAAUCGGUUUCUGCAAUGGUUAAUGGCAUAUUUUUGCUCAUCGUCACCACUGCAUUCACUAAUCAUUUGUGCACGUGAAUUGUUUUUGAGCAUUUAUUUUGCCUUCGUUAAAAUUGGGCAUGUAAAAAUUUCAUGAAAAAUGGCCAAAGUGGCUGGCUAGGUGAUAUAAUGGAUGGUUACAACUCAAACCUAGCAAUAAAUGAAUGUCCGACAAGCAUUCAAAUGAAUGUAUAAAACCAAUGAGAUUAGAAUAUCUAUUUAUAAUAGACUAAUUAAAAUACGAUUCAAAUAUAAGGUAAAUAGUCUCUCUAUUAAUUUUUUAUUGUUUCAGGUAGGGUUGUCGAGCCUUUGUCCGGGCUUCUGUAAGCCCAUUUCCAGCCCUCUUAUAUGAUUGGAUUAGAUCAGGCUCGGCCCACCAGGCCGGGCUAAAUCUUGAGCUCUUUUUAAAUAAAAAAAAGUUGAAUUUUAAGUUUUUGAAGUUAAUAUAUAUACACACACACUUGUACUUAAAUAAUUUAUAAAUUUUUUAAAAGCCAAAUAAUAAAAAUAUUGACAUGUAAAAGUACAAUUUUUUUUUCAUGUGGAAUAAUUAUCUCAUUUCUACCUUUUUGGUCCUAUAGAUAUUUCCUCAUUUCAUCUUUGGUAUUAGAGCAGUAGUAAAAAGACACACGAUUAAAGAUAAAUGUGACAUUUUUACCGACAAAUUAACUAUUUGGAUCUAAGAUCUAGCUCUAAUGGUAAAGACUAGUUUUUAUAGAAUUCAGGUCCUGGGUUUGACUUCCAAUUGCGUGGGUAAGCUAAUAAUAAUAAUAAUAAUAAUAACAAAUUAACUAGUUUUAAUUUGCAAAGGUCUUAGAUAAUCAAUUCGUUUGUAAAAACAUCAAAUUUAUUUUCAGUAAUGAAAUUUUCAAGUCACUGGUUUUAGCACUAGGAAUGAAUUAAAUAGAGUAAUGAUAAACAUCUUAAAAUUUUAUCCCAAAUGAUAUGACAUGUAAUGUGUCAUUUAUUAAGUGGUUGGUGAUUUUUCAUAAAUUUUAAGUCGAUUAAUUAUAUUAUUUCACCAACCAAUAAAUGAACAUCACAUCAUUUGAGAAUGAAUUUUAAGGUAAAAUUUUAGAUAUAUAUCAUUACUCAAUUAUUUUUUAUAGUAUAAAAUCUAAUAGGGACCAAAAAUAUAAAAACCAAUUAAGAAAAAAAAAGUCAAUUCCUAAUUAGAAGAAUGAAAGUGUCAUUCUCCUAUAAUCAUUUCUCAAGUUUUUAUAUAAAUUUAUUAAUGCAAAAUUUUAAAAGAAAAUCGGUACCUAAAACUAACGCCUUUGACAAUGCUGCCAAUAUCACUCACAACUUACAAGAAUAAAGAAUUUGUAUUAAAUUUAUUAAUGUUCUCAAAGAAUUUUUAGUUUUGACUUUACAUUCUCAGACCCAUUUGUCACAUAACAUCUUAGCUGAUUAACAAAGCCCUUUCGUGAGAAUAUUAAAACUGCUCUCGAAUAAGCAUCUUAACAACCCCGUUUUUGACAUACAUGCAUGCCUCCUCAUGUCAGCAAAUUUGAAACAUAAAAGAUAAUUUCAAUCGAUGUGAGAGUUGGGAGUAUUUUAUAGCUUUUGACCUCAUUAAUUAUGAGUAAGAGAAUAUUUCUACGUCACUAAUGAUUAAAAUGAUCACUAUAUAUAUAAAGGGUAGCAAAGUAUGUUUAACAUCAAGUCAGAAAACACAAUUUUUAGGAAAUGGGAACUCGGGGACAGGCGAGGCAAUGGCCUCAAUUGUUUUGUGCUAUAGCAUUUUUGCUUAUAGCCACCACGACCAAGGCAUCGGCUGAUGAUUAUGCCUCAGCACCACCACCAAAGUAUUCUUCUCCACCUCUUUACUACUACAAAUCACCACCUCCUCCUUCUCCCUCUCCACCUCCACCAUAUUAUUACAAGUCUCCCCCACCACCAUCUCCGUCUCCUCCACCACCUUACUACUACACGUCACCACCGCCACCAGUGCAUUCUCCCCCGCCACCUUACUACUACAAGUCACCACCGCCACCAGUGCAUUCUCCUCCGCCACCUUACUACUACAAAUCUCCGCCGCCACCAAAGCAUUCUCCCCCGCCACCUUACUACUAUAAGUCACCACCACCACCAGUGCAUUCUCCCCCGCCACCUUAUUACUACAAAUCUCCGCCGCCACCAAAGUAUUCUCCCCCGCCACCUUAUUAUUACAAAUCUCCGCCGCCACCAAAGCAUUCUCCUCCACCACCUUACUACUACAAAUCUCCACCACCACCAAACCAUUCUCCCCCACCACCUUACUACUAUAAGUCACCACCACCACCAAAGCAUUCUCCCCCACCUCCUUAUUACUACAAAUCUCCACCACCACCAAUGUAUUCUCCACCACCACCUUACUAAUACAAAUCUCCGCCAUCGCCAUCUCUAUCCCCGCCUCCAUCUUACAUUUAUAAAUUCCCACAACCAUCAUCUAUACCACCUCCACCAUGACCUCUAUCACGGUCAUUAUUGCUUCCUUACUACUCCAAGUCACCGCCAACUCCUUUAUCUCCACCUUCACCGUAUUACUACAAUCACCCCCACCUCCCAAAGACUACUACGUUCAGUAUCCCUUCUUGAAACAAGUUUAAAAUUCAAUAAGAAUAAAUUUGUUCCUUUGGUUGCCUUUUUUUUUAAUUUUUUACUAAGUUCAAUGCCCCUUCUUGAAACAAGUUUCAAAUUCAAUAAGAAUAAAUUUGUUCCUUUGGUUGCCUUUUUAUGCUUUUUUGUGUCAAUUUUUUUACAAAUAAUUUGUAAGAAGCGUUCAGUGCAUCAUUUGUCAUGUGCAAUAAAAAUCUUCUAACUUAAUGUAUCCCCAAAAAAAAAAAAAAAAAUUGUUCUAUAAGAAUUAUUCUAUUGUUUUAUCACAAAUGUGUUGUGGCGCAUAUAAUGCUCCCGGAUGAAGUAAUAUUAUGUCUUGAUGAACAAUCAUGCACAACAAUGAUCAUGUACAUAGUUCUUCCAACGUCAUGAUAAUGUCCAUGCACAUAAUAACAAACUUCUUCCUCAUAAUAUCAAAGAAAAUGAAGAUACAAGCCUCUUAUUCUUUAGUCAUUCACUCAAACAACAUUGUUUUAACUUAGGUUUUGAUCAAUCUUAAUGCUAAUAAAUGCUAACUACAUAUCAAAUACAAGAUCAACAAAAACCAGAUUUUAAAUUAAUCAGAAAAACAAACACUAGACUUAACCAAGCAGUUAAGCUUUAUUAUUCUCCCUCAGUAAAGGAUACAAAGAUGUAGGUGGAUUACAAGCUAUCACUGAAAAAAUAGAAAUCAUCUAAAAUGGUGAACAAAUGAGCUCUAAAUCUGUUGCACUCAUUUGUUCAACUAAGCAAUGAAAUUACCCUUUUCUAUUUUAACUGCUUGUCUACUUUAACACGGCAACUUUAAAUAACAACCUUCAACUUGAAAAAUUUGAGUAACCAGAGCCAUCAAUAACGGUAAAUCUUGACAAAAAUUUUAGUUUAAUUAAGGCCAUAAACAUAAUAUUAAAUAAUAAAAAAAAAAGGCCAUAAACAUAGUGUUGAAAUACCAUUAUACCUGUGAACGAACUUUUGAUGGUUAUUAAACUCAUGAACCCUCAAUUUUUGUAUUAUGAAUAUGCUCAUGGCCUAUCUUAGGUCUCCUCUAUGAACCACUUUUUUUUUAAAAAAAUUAUAUUCAUUAUGAUACUAAGGUAUAAGUAGAAGUAAAGUUCUUUUAAUAUUUUUGUAACCAGGAUGUGACAACCUAGGUGAUACGUGAAUUGGUUAUUUGCACAUUUUGCUACAUUUUUGUGAGUUUGCUUGCUGGUUUUCUCUUUGUUCCAACAAUUCACACAUAGGAUAAUCUCAUUUUAACAAAGAAAGAUACCACUAAAAUACAACAAAACAUGAUCAAUUCUAAUAUACUAGAAAACUUUUUUUUUUUGUUUGCCUUUUCAUAUAUUAGAGUUGUGUUUUUGUUAUCUUAUAGUGGCAUCUAUGCAGUUUAACUAAAUGAGAAUAUUCUCAUUUGAGAAUUAUUAAUAAGAGAGUAGUAGACAAAUGAUACCCAACUAUACUGCUUCACUAUUAACAACACAUCCAAUUGAGUAAUGAUAGAGAGUCAAUUCUAUCACCAAAUGAAAGCAAACAAAAGCUGAAAUAUUUUAGUGAAUAUCUUUAAAGUUUGAAUUAAUAAUAAAAUUGUCCCAAAAAACUGUCUUAAUGGAACUAAUGUGCGAUUUAUUUGUAGGGUGAAUAAAUAUCAUUUUCCAGAAAAAAAUAUAGUCAAAAUAUGGAAAGCUUGUUCUGCAAGUGGUUGAUAUUGAUGUACAUUAAUGUCAAAGAUACAUUAAGUGCAUGCCAAAUUCUAUUAUAAAAUUUAUAAAUGUAUAAGUAGAAGAUUUUAUAAAUUAAUUCCUGUAAAACGUCGGUUAUAUGAAUAAAUGGUGAAGAGAAAGCUGUAAUAAUUAUCGUAAUUACAAUUUUCUUGAGCACGCUUUGACGUACGAUUAACAAAAAAGGUCUGUAUAUGAGCAAUCGGCCGUACAUUAUCUUAACCACCUGAUUUUGUUUUUUUUUUUUGUAAUUUCAAUCUUGGCCGUUGGAGUCAAUGAAAAGAUCGUUCAAAUGGUAGAGAUUUGUCUAUUUGAUUAUUAACAUUAUGCUUCCCGAUGGUUAUCAAAAACCCAAACAAAUUAAAGAGUUAAAACUUUUAGCACAUAAGUCCGAAUUGUUUCAAAUUUAUGUUGUUUAAUCACUAGUGAGUCUCAAAAAAUAAAUUUAUUUUAAUAUUAUAUAUUUUAUUUAAAAGAAUUAAUUUUUUAUAUCAUUUAUUUUAUUAAAAAUAAAUAUUAUUGAAUACUAAUUAUUCUCAUUUUAUUUAAUAUUAUUUAGUUAUAGGCUUAUUAUUAUAUUUAAUUGUUCAAAAAACUAAAAAAAUUUAAAUAAAAUAAAGUAAUUGAUGGUUGUCGAAGCCAACAAAAAUAAAUUCCUACUCUAAAUAAAUUGUGUAUAGUGAUUGAGCAGGGUCGUGUCCACAGAGAUCGGUAAUUAUUUAAAUCCUUUUGAAACGUAAAACGUAAAAUGGGGGAAUUGUUGACAAUAAUAAAAAUCAAAUUAAAAUAACAAGAAUGCAAAUUAAAGUUGUAAUUCAAAUUGGAGAAAGCUCUGGUUGAAGGAAUUAACUCAGCUUGAUUCGACUACUGAUCAUUGAUUCAAAUAUAGAUUAUUAUUACUCAUGAAUAGACCGGUUAUAGCUACUGAGACCCUCUAAUAGCCAAUCUCUCCUUAACUAGUCGAUAACCAAGGUACGACCGUUGGAUAUUCCCUAAUCAAUAGACAACCCUAGAUACGAUCAUAGAAUUUAAUCAAUUGACAGCCUGAAAAACCAGAAAGACCCAAAUCCUAAUCAACACAUAUGAUGAUUCAUUUAAAUUAAAUUGUUUAUUCUCACAACACAACUCUCUGCUAUGUCAUUUGUCACAAACAUUAAAUUCUUCAUACGAUGAAUCCCUUAAUUGACAAUAGAUUAAGUUGAUAAUUAAAUAGUGGCCAACUGCUGUACGGCCAAGGCGGAUGUACGGUACAGCAGAAUACAUUCCCUUACUCAACUAACAAAGUCUUUCAUUUAUCUGAAAACAGUUCCAAUUUUGAAAUAUCAGUGUCAAACUUUUCCCAGCAACAUAUUUAUCAUCUCUCCACAUUAUCCUUAACUGACAGCAGCUUGGAAGAUCUUCAAUCAGCAAGUUCAGAAAGCAAUGAACAAGUACCUUCUGUUUCUGCACACACAAAUAAUCUGCAUCAACAAGAGCAUUCUNNNNNNNNNNNNNNNNNNNNNNNNNNNNNNNNNNNNNNNNNNNNNNNNNNNNNNNNNNNNNNNNNNNNNNNNNNNNNNNNNNNNNNNNNNNNNNNNNNNNNNNNNNNNNNNNNNNNNNNNNNNNNNNNNNNNNNNNNNNNNNNNNNNNNNNNNNNNNNNNNNNNNNNNNNNNNNNNNNNNNNNNNNNNNNNNNNNNNNNNNNNNNNNNNNNNNNNNNNNNNNNNNNNNNNNNNNNNNNNNNNNNNCAGCAGAAUAAAAUAUUAUUAAUUUUAUUUUUUUUAUUUUGCUAUCUUACUAAUAAUUGGCAAUAAUAAUAAUAAUAAUAAUAAUAAUAAUAAUAUCUUUAAGGUUAAUGAUUUUAUUUUCUAAUUAAUAUGGAUAAUUUUAGAUUUUUAUAAUAUAUAUGACGAUAAACACGAAAUUAAGUAUAAAACUAAUUCUCAAAAUCCGAUUUUAAAAAUCUACUUUUUCCCUACUUUUUAAAAUCUUCAGUAAGAUAAGGUAAAUUUACCAAAAGUGAUUUCUGAAAAUAUUUAUCAAAUAAUAAAAUUAAUUUGUAACUUUUCAAAAUAACUUUUAAAUCUCGCAAAAAAAAAUCCUAAAUGAGUCCUAAGUACCUAACUUUAUGACGGUCAACAAAUAUGGUAUAAAAGUCUUCUACACCUACUGGGCAUUUGAAUGGGCCAUCUGUCUUAGCUCUUACCUCUUAAAAUGGGCUAAAAAUCAGAGAGUCAGUUAACUAAUAUGGGCUAAAAUUUGGGUACACCUCUCGGGCAUGUUAAUGGGCCAUCAUCUUUCACAGGUUUCUAAAGGGUAAAGGCUUUCUGUCUCCCAAGACUUCGACUAGUGAAAUUUAAUCGAUAUAAAUAUGUAGCUACCUAUAUUUAUAUAAGAAAAUGAUGUUCUCAUAAAUUUGCGUGCAAAGAUUUGCACAAAACGGUGCGUUUUGUGCAGCUUUAAAAAUGCUCUUCGUACGUGCACCAAACAACACACAAGCACGCCAAUUCACAACAUCAUUUUCCCACUCGCGUCUGCCUCCUUUCACUGCAACAAAAACCCAGCAGCUUCGUUCUCCACACAGCAAGAAGUCUCCUUAUUAAUAUAAUAUUAUAUAAUAAACUCAACAGAAGUCUCCUUUCUUCCUCCAUUUUUCCUCACGAGAUAGCUCCGAUCUCUCUCCCUCCGUCCUCCUUUCUUCCUUACAAGACAGCUCGGGUCUCUCUCUCUGGCCUCCUUUCUCCCUCACAAGAUAGUUCGGAUCUCUCUUUCCAGUCUCCACGCCGCUAAUAGUCCCAGUUCUAACCUCUCUCGCCCCGCAGCAACCAUAAGAUCUCUCUCUCACCCGUUUCAAUUCAUUGCUCUAAUUGAAAUCUUUAACUCGUUUAGGACAUUGUGCUGAAUUACCUAUGGAUGGUGGUGGUCUUAUGCUUGAGUGUUGUAAAUUAGAAUCAAAUUAUGCAAAACCUGAUGCCUUUGGGAAUCAUGUUUAUUUCAAGCUUCUAUGUUGUGAUUUGAUUAUUUGAUGAAGCACCUGGAAAAUGUAGUUUGCUCCCUCAAAUUAUUUUACUCUGUUGAAUAAAUUGUAUUUGCCAUUAUUUGAAAAGAAUUUAAAAAAAAAUUACAGCCCCGAAACAUUGAGCUUAUGCUAUAAUUUAAGCAUCUCCCUCAUUUAUAGCACAUUUAUUUUCAUAAUUUACGCGACAAUGGAGAACGGAGCCGAGACUGUUAGUGGCAUGGGGAUGAGAGAGAAAAAUAUGAGCUGUUUCGUGAGGUUUUGUUAGGUUUCGUGAGGGAGAAAGGAGAUGGGAGAGAGAGACGCUGAGUUUUGUUGCUCCCCUCACUUGUGUGUGUUUGGUGUUAAAACUUUGCAGCAAAGAGUGGCUUUUAUACUUUGCACAAAACGCACCGUUUUGUGCAAAGUUUUGUGCAAAGUGUUGUGAGAACAUCAUUUUCCAUUUAAAUAUUGGCUUUUCAUUUUUUUUCAAAUGAGAAUUGAUCCAGUGUGCACCAUCAUGCACAGCACAAGGUAUAUUUUCAUCAGUGGGCGCUAGGUCUCAUAGAUUGGUUCUCUCUAAUAAGAACAUGUCGUCUGUUGUCCCGCGCUAGAUCGAAUGCGUUUUCAAAUUUGUCAAAUUACAUUUUGAGCAUGUCAUAGUGGACGUUAUUACAAAGUCGUCAAUCUCAAUACAAUAAUCAUGACAUCAGGUUUUGAGAAUGUGAAUAAAACUCAUAUUUAUUUGAUAAAAUAUAAUUUAAAAAUAAAAAUAAAAUAUGUAUAUUCUAUAUAAUUUGAUAAUAAAAAAUAGAAAUCUCAUUUUUAUAUUGGGUUGGGAAUGAGGAUUCCUAUUUCUUGAACUGACUUUUAUAUCUCUCUAUUUUUUUCAUAUUUUUUAAAUUAUUCUCGUUUAAAUCACAAUUAAUUUGAUUACUGCUGUACGGCCAAGGCGGAUGCAAUAGAAUUGCACCUACAAAAGUAAAACAUAAGUAAAUCACUAUUAUUAAGUGCAAAACAUUGAUAUUAAGGGAAGUAAAUAAUGCAAAACUAGUGCAUAAAUUGCACUCUAACAGUAAUCAGUAAUCAGCAUUAAAAAUUAAAUUAAAUUAAAUUUUUUUGUUUUUAAUAUUAUUUAGUUAUAGACUUAUUAUUAUAUUUAUUCGUUCAUAAAACUAAAUAAUGUUAAAUCAAAUAAAAUAAUCAGGAAUGGUUCUUAAAAAAUUAAUAUUAUUUAUUUUAUUUUAUUUAAUAUUAUUUAGUCAUAGCCUAUUAUUCUGUUUAUUUUUUGAAAAUUAAAUAAUAUUAAAUAAAAAUCCCCCCUUUUCACAAUAGAUUCCUCCCUUCAAUACUCUCUCUCUCCUCUCUUUUAGAAUUCUAUUUAAAAUAAAAUACUAAUAUCUGAAAUAUUAAAUUCGUAAUUACAAAAAUAACCAAAAAUACAAAAUACGUUAAACUAAAAACUGCAGGUCCGCAGUUGACAGCACGCGCCCACGCCUUAUCAACAAAGUUCUUCUGACGCUCAUAAUUUCUCCAAGAGAACAAUCAUCCUUAAACAUCAUCUUAUAGCUCAAUUUUAUCAUCAAUCAAUAGAAUUACACCUACAAAAGUAAAACACAAGUAAAACAUUAUUAUUAAGUGCAAAACAUCGAUAUUAAGGGAAGUAAACAAUGCAAAACUAGUGCAUAAAUUGCACUCUAACAAAUUCCCCCACACCAAGAUGAUGCUUGUCCUCAAGCAUAUAACUCAAGACUAAUCUCAAAUCUCCACUAAAUUCUCAUCUCAACUCAUCCAAAAAUAAUUUUAAGCAAGCAUACCUCAAGAAAUUAAGUCGAUCAACAUUCGAGAGACAAGGAUUUUUAAAGCAUAGAAUCUCAUAAGAUAGAAUAAGAACAUUCAACCACCAAGAAGAUCCAUUCAAAAUUCAAGUGCAACAAGAUGUAAUAGCCCUCUCAAUAACUUCACUCCAUGCACUCAAAGUGUUUAGGGUAUCAUUUAUGCACUCAAAUCAAAUCAAAGAAUGCUAUUACCAUAAGCUUGCUCAUAUAUCACAUCUCAAUCCACAAAACAUGAAUAAAAUGAAAAAAUCUAAGGGUCUUAAAAGGGUUGUAAUGGGGUUAAAUAGGUUAAAUGAAAAAGAAAGGUCUAUGAAAGAAAAAGAGAUCAAAAUGAGAAGAAUGAACUCAUUGAAUGAACUUAUGAUAUCAAAAUGCUCCUUGGCCGUACAGCAGGAAUGGUUCUUAAAAAAUUAAUAUUAUUUAUUUUAUUUUAUUUAAUAUUAUUUAGUCAUAGCCUAUUAUUCUGUUUAUUUUUUGAAAAUUAAAUAAUAUUAAAUAAAAUAGAAUAGAAAAUGUGAGUCCUUAAAAAUAAAAAUUAUUUUUAAUAUUAUUUAUUUUAUUUAAAAGAAUAAAUUUUUUAAUAUUUUUAUUUUAUUAAAAAAUAUUAUUUAAUAUUAUCUAGUCAUAGGCUUAUUAUUAUAUUUCUUCUUUUAGAAAGUUAAAUAGUAUUAAAUGAAAUAAAAUUACAUUUUAGAAGGUCAUUAGCCAAAGCACAUAAACUUAUAAACAAAUGGAAAUAAAAAAGGUAAAUAAUAUUCAAUAAAAUAAAAUUACAUUUUAAAAGGUCACCAACCAAAGCACAUAAUAUUAUAACAAAAAUGUAAAUAAAAAAGAAAGUAAGAGAUUCAAUGAAAUUUAACAUCACAAAAGACAAUUUCAAAAAUUGGGGGUAGCUUGCAACUGUUGCAAAGUGGCUGGUUCCAUAAUUUUGAGAUAAUGUUUCGGUUUCAAAUAUUGUUAUCGAUACCUAAUUAUAAGUAAUAAAAAAAUAUUGUAUAAUUUUUUUACCAACAUUUACAAUACAUUUUAUUUUGAUUUCUGAAAAAAAUAGAUAAAACACAAAUUAAUUAUUUUAACCCUCUAUUCUCUCAAUAUUUAAACUCGAAUAAUCAGUUAAAAGUUGCUCGAGAAUGUUUAAAAGCCAUUUAAGUAUACCACGUCAUUCAUGUUUUGCAAUCAUUCAAUUGUUAAUAAGUUUCCCAUGUGCUGAAAAUAAAUAAAAAUGCACGUGCAUAUGUCAUAUUGUCUCCGAAACCUCACAGCGGAAUGAGUGUAGUACUUGCAAUGCAUGUACUUUAGACUUUGUAUUUCUCUUAUUUAAAUGAUCAAUAAUUUUUCUUUGUCCUUUAAUUAGACGUCAACAGUCGAAGUUGUGGGCAAGUAGUAGGCUAUAUAUAAUAAUUUCCUGGAGAUCUUCCGUCUUCUAAGACAUUGCAAAUGCCAAACGUGAUAACUAUUUUGAUAAUUCAAAUACUACAUAAAAUAUAUGAAGUGUCAGACAAGUCAAAAGAAUUGAUUCUUCACAAUUGUAUAUACGUAUACACACACUUUGCCCAAAUCCCAUUGUAUCCAGGCUGUAAUUUUUAUAUUAAACGAACAUAUUUUAUUUUAUGUCAGCAAUAUUGAUGCAGGCUGGUGGAACAACAGCUUCAGGAUGGUCAACUACCCUUCGGAUCAUUGCAAGUGGGAUGGCAUCACUUGCAAUUCAGAUGGAACCAUAAUCGGGCUAAAAUUAUCAGGGUAUGAUGUUGACUUCAAAAGGUAGUCUUCGUAAAAUUAUCAUGGUAUAAUAUACGUAUUUAUUUUCGCAUACAUAAAUAAAUAACAAAAUUGUAAUUAAUUGGAUACAACUUCAGCUUUUGGACUGGUUUGUGAAAAUCGGAAAAAUUUAAAAAUGCUCCUCUUGAACAAUCAAAAUCUACUUUAUACGUGAACAAAGGGGAUGAUUCGUAAAGAUAAUUCAUCAAUGUUUGAUUACUUUCAGAAAGAUAGACUUCAUUUGAUCUCGUCCCAAAGCAUAAUUUCACUUUGAAUUUGAAAAAGAAUAAUGAAGUUCAUACGAUGCUGUUGUGACCUUUUUUUUUUGUUUUCUUUUUUUCUCGACGUUGUUUUGUGAAUCAUAAGGGUUAAUUUAGUACGGUGGGUUCGCUUGUAUGAAGCGUACUUAUUGUACCAUUCUGUUGCAAGUAAUGAAAAAACGCUAUAAUUUUUUUUAGGUUUCUACAAGUAUUAUGUUAUCUUAUAUCUAACUGUGCAUCUCUAUUCUUUGCUCUCAGUUCAGGUUCUCUAAAAGUAUAUUAAUUAUGAAAAGCAUUAAAGGUUCCGAAACUCUAUUUUGCGGGGAAAAAGAACCUCCAUUUUUGGUUUUUUAUUAUCAUAAGAGGUUUUACUAUGCUCGUAAUAACUUAAUCGAAAUUAAACAUAUCACUGGUCUACAUUUUUUUAUCAGAUUUUGUGCCUUGCUAAUUAAGAUGAGUAUCACCAUCAAAUCAACAAGCUUAUACCUUCAAAGAAAAAUAGACUAUAAGUCGGGAGAAAGAAGAAGAAAAAAAAAAAGAAGCUUCGCAAUUUAUGCUGUUGGUUGUGAGUUCAUGAAACAAAUAAAAAUAUGAAAUCAAACAUUUAUCCAAAAUUUAAAAUUAAAAAAAAACUCUAUAUCUACAGUAAUCUGUUCAAACCACAUAGGUGGAGCAAUAGAGUUCCAAGACGUGGUUUUAAAACAUGUCUUUGUGAUAAACAAUAUCGUGAUACUUGCGCCAAUUCCCAUGCCAAUAAUUGCCUACAUUUAUCCAAGAUCCAUGGCCAGGUUUAGAAUGUGCUAGUCUUCUUUCACUUUCAUAAAUAACCACUACUAGGUAAUCAGAGUGUCGGUCUAAAUUUUUCGGAGAUACAACGUCAAUGUAUGUGCCCGGAGUUGAAGCUGAACGCGCUUAAAUAUGUUCGGAAUUUGAAGUUGAACGCCUGGAAAAGGAUGCAGACUGAAGAAAGGCAAUUCCUGGAAUUUGUCUUUGGUAAGAAAACAUGGCUGCUUAUGCCCUUUGAAAGACUGAAGAAACCAAAUUGAUUAUUGCUGCAAUUUAGUGGCACGUGUACAAGGAGAGGCAUCCGAUUAAACUUGUUCAUAAAAUUAUUGCUGAUAGUUGCAGCCGAUCUCCAUGAAGUACAAACCCAACGCAAAGAAACAAAGUGUUCGUACAAUUUUAUCCGCCAGCAAUUUCGACCAAGAGACCUUGAUGCAGUUCAGACCAAUUCGCCAGUUGAACAUCAAGUUGCCUAGGCAUUGAGAAUUAGGUCAAUAAAAUAUAUCCUGGGUCACUUACAAAAGAUGAAAUAAGUGAAAAAGGAAAGAUGACGUAAUAAUUUCUUAGUGAGAAAAGUUAGUUAAUUUUCAAUUGCUUUCAUUGUUUUGAUAAUUUUCAAAACAUUUCAUUGCUUUCAUUGCGUAAUUAAGCUUUUUUUGCUUCAAAAUAUUUCAAAUUGUGUUUGUGGGACUACUAAACAAUUAGGACACAACAAUGUUUCGUUCUGGUCUUUUUUUUUUUUUACUUUUUAAUUUAUUUUAAGAAAAUCUUUGUCCAUCUCUCAUCCUGCCAAAUAUAUCGUCUCGUCUUGUUAUCUAGAAUAAUUCUUCAUGCAUCAAUGAGUUUUGACAAAUUUUUAUCUUUUAAAAGUUGUUGUAAUUCAAUAUAGCUAAAAUCUUAAAUACAUACAUGUAGAAUAAUCUAAGCAUUACCUUAUUCGGGGAAAAUCGAGAUUAGAAUCAAUCAAAGCAAUGAUACCUUAUAUCAGUGAGAUAUAUGCAAGACUCACCCAUUGGUACAAACGAAAAUGAUCAAAGUGGAAGCAAAAAUGGAAUCCUCAAAUGUGGUGAUAAUUUAGAUGAUCUCCACUCUCCAUUUGGUUUCAUCUAAUAAGUUAGUGUUUAAUUAAGAAUUUAUUACUCAUUUUAUUAUGAUAUUAAUCAACUGCCGUCCCUUCCAUUAGUUCAUUAUUUUUGAUGGAUUACGAAAGACAGACAAUAAAAUUCUCCAAAACUGUUGUAAGAGUAAUAUUGUAAAAGUUACAUAAAAGUGAGGAUAAGGAUAAUUUGAGGUAUGUUUCAAGAUAUAAAGAUUAAAUAAAUUCUUAACUCAAAAUAAAGAGAUUUAUUUUUUUUAAAAGAGAUUAAAAUGUCAUGAUAAAUAAAUAAGGGAGGUGAUAUUCUGGGCUCUCCCCUGGCUUUUUGUGAUAACAUCUUAAAUUAAUAUAAAUAGUUAAAAUUUUAUUAAAAAAUAAAUUUUUACCUAAUACUCUUUGACAUAGCUAGGAAUAUAGCCUACUUGCAAGAGACUUACAUUCGUUUGCACAGCCCUUUCGUGAAUAUAAAAUUGCUGCCGAAUAAGCAUCUAAUUAAAAGAAUUAGGAAUUUGUCAACGGUAUAAAUUAAAUAUAAAAAACGAGUAAAAGAAUUUGUCAAUGGGAUAUGGGGGGCUAUGGCUUCAAUCGUAGGGGUGGGCAAAUUUCGGAUUCCGAAUCCGAUCGGAUUUUGGAUAAUUCGGAUUGGGAAAAAAUCCAUCCAAAUUCAAUCCGAACCUUAAAUCUGUUUCGAUCCGAGAUAAUUUCGGAUCCGGAUCAGAUUCGGAUGAGUUUGAAUUUCAGAUUAUAUUUCAAGUUCGGAUUAUAUUUUGGAUUCGGAUUAAUUCGGGUUUGGGACCUUUUUACAAUUCUCACAAAAAAAUUAUGAAAUUUAUAAUUAAUGAAAAAUAAUUUCCAUGAUGCUGUCAACAAUAAUUAAUAUUUUGAAAACGCAAUAACGGAAUUUUCAAAAAAAAGAAAAAGAAAACACAGGAACGGUAUUGAUAAAGAAUUUUCAUUAGCCAUUUGUGACUGCUAACUAAAUUGUAACAACUAAGUAAAAUAUAAUAAUAAUAAUAAUACAUGCGGGUAUAUUCAAAGCAACUAAAUCACUUGCGAAUGAUCAAGACAAAUCGUAUAAACAAGUAAAAAAUUCAAAGUUUCAAACGCAAAUCGUCGGGGGCUAUCGGAUUAGUGGAUUACCAUUAACAAGACGAGGUUUAUGUCGGUGUGAGUUGCUCAUUGUGGGUCUGGAUGAUGUCGCGAUGGCUGGGUUUGUGCCAACUAUGAUCCAGCUAGGUUUGUAUCGAAUCUGAUCUCGUCUAGAGGACGUUGUGGCGGCUGGGUUUGUGUCGAAUUCAUUCGGUUUGUCUCGUCGGCGACAUGGUUGUUGGUUGGCUCGUCAGGUUGUGGCCCGUGGGUGUGGUGUGGUUUGUUGUCGUGGAUUGACUUAUCAAAGGGCGUGCGACGAUGGUGUGUGGUUUUGUCAUUUGGAAAUUGAGUUUUGAUUUUUCAUUUUCGUUUUUUUAAAAAAAAAUUUUUGGAUUAUUCGGAUUGAACUGAAUCUUAUCCGAUCCAAAUCAAAUCCGAUCAGAUUACAAAAAUUUCAUCCGAUUGGAUUUUAAAGCAAAUCCAAAUCCGAUCCGAACAAAUUCGGAUCGAAUUGGAUUAGAUCGGAUCUAUCCGAAUCUGAUCCAAUGUCCACCCCUAUUCAAUCGGUUUCUGCAAUGGUUAAUGGCAUAUUUUUGCUCAUCGUCACCACUGAAUCCACUGAUCAUUUGUGCAUGUGAGUUGUUUUUGAGCAUUUAUUUUUCCCUUUAGAAGCAUAAGGAUAAGGCUAGUCUUCUUUUUGGGAGGACUUAUUGCUUCCAUUCGUUAAAAUUGGGCAUGUAAAAUGUCAAGAAAAAAUGGCCUAAGUGGCUAGCUAGAUGAUAUAAUGGAUGGUUACUACUCAAACCUAGCAAUAAAUGAAUGUCCGACAAGCAUUCAAAUGAAUGAAUAAAACCAAUCAGAUUAGAAUAUCUAUUUAUGAUAGAUUAAUGAAAAUACGAUUCAAAUAUAAGGUAAAUAAUCUCUCCAUUAAUUUUUUAUUGUUUCAGGCAGGGUUGCCAAGCCUCUGUCCGGGCUUCUAUAAGCUCAAUUCCAGCUCUCCUAUAUGAUUGAAUUAGAUCGGGCUAGGCCCUCGGACUUUUUAAUUAAAAAAGGUCGAUUUUUAAGUUUAUGAAGUUAAUACACUCACGCUUAUACUUUAAUAUUUUUAUUAUUUGGCUUUUAGAAUAUUAACGUGUAAAUUACUUUUUUUUUUCAAGUGAAAUAAUUAUCACAUUUUGUCUUCUUAGUAUAUAUUUCUACCUUUUUGUUCCUAUAGAUAUUUCCUCAUUUCAUCUUUGGUACUAGAGCGUAGUAAAAAAACACAUGAUUAAAGAUAAAUAUGACAUUUUAACUAACAAAUUAAUUAUUUGUAUCUAAGAUCUAGCUCUAGUGGUAAAGAUCAAUUUUCAUCGAAUUCAAGUCUUGGGUUUGAAUUUAAAUGCAUGGGUAAGUUAAUAAUAAUAAUAAUAAUAAUAAUAAUAAUAAUAAUAAUAAUAAUAAUAAUAAUAAUAAUAAUAAUAAUAAUAAUAAUAAUAAUAAUAAUAAUAAUAAUAAUAAUAAUAAUAAUAAUAAUAAUAAUAAUAAUAAUAAUAAUAAUAAUAAUAAUAAUAAUAAUAAUAAUAAUAAUAAUAAUAAUAAUAAUAAUAAUAAUAAUAAUAAUAAUAAUAAUAAUAAUAAUAAUAAUAAUAAUAAUAAUAAUAAUAAUAAUAAUAAUAAUAAUAAUAAUAAUAAUAAUAAUAAUAAUAAUAAUAAUAAUAAUAAUAAUAAUAAUAAUAAUAAUAAUAAUAAUAAUAAUAAUAAUAAUAAUAAUAAUAAUAAUAAUAAUAAUAAUAAUAAUAAUAAUAAUAAUAAUAAUAAUAAUAAUAAUAAUAAUAAUAAUAAUAAUAAUAAUAAUAAUAAUAAUAAUAAUAAUAAUAAUAAUAAUAAUAAUAAUAAUAAUAAUAAUAAUAAUAAUAAUAAUAAUAAUAAUAAUAAUAAUAAUAAUAAUAAUAAUAAUAAUAAUAAUAAUAAUAAUAAUAAUAAUAAUAAUAAUAAUAAUAAUAAUAAUAAUAAUAAUAAUAAUAAUAAUAAUAAUAAUAAUAAUAAUAAUAAUAAUAAUAAUAAUAAUAAUAAUAAUAAUAAUAAUAAUAAUAAUAAUAAUAAUAAUAAUAAUAAUAAUAAUAAUAAUAAUAAUAAUAAUAAUAAUAAUAAUAAUAAUAAUAAUAAUAAUAAUAAUAAUAAUAAUAAUAAUAAUAAUAAUAAUAAUAAUAAUAAUAAUAAUAAUAAUAAUAAUAAUAAUAAUAAUAAUAAUAAUAAUAAUAAUAAUAAUAAUAAUAAUAAUAAUAAUAAUAAUAAUAAUAAUAAUAAUAAUAAUAAUAAUAAUAAUAAUAAUAAUAAUAAUAAUAAUAAUAAUAAUAAUAAUAAUAAUAAUAAUAAUAAUAAUAAUAAUAAUAAUAAUAAUAAUAAUAAUAAUAAUAAUAAUAAUAAUAAUAAUAAUAAUAAUAAUAAUAAUAAUAAUAAUAAUAAUAAUAAUAAUAAUAAUAAUAAUAAUAAUAAUAAUAAUAAUAAUAAUAAUAAUAAUAAUAAUAAUAAUAAUAAUAAUAAUAAUAAUAAUAAUAAUAAUAAUAAUAAUAAUAAUAAUAAUAAUAAUAAUAAUAAUAAUAAUAAUAAUAAUAAUAAUAAUAAUAAUAAUAAUAAUAAUAAUAAUAAUAAUAAUAAUAAUAAUAAUAAUAAUAAUAAUAAUAAUAAUAAUAAUAAUAAUAAUAAUAAUAAUAAUAAUAAUAAUAAUAAUAAUAAUAAUAAUAAUAAUAAUAAUAAUAAUAAUAAUAAUAAUAAUAAUAAUAAUAAUAAUAAUAAUAAUAAUAAUAAUAAUAAUAAUAAUAAUAAUAAUAAUAAUAAUAAUAAUAAUAAUAAUAAUAAUAAUAAUAAUAAUAAUAAUAAUAAUAAUAAUAAUAAUAAUAAUAAUAAUAAUAAUAAUAAUAAUAAUAAUAAUAAUAAUAAUAAUAAUAAUAAUAAUAAUAAUAAUAAUAAUAAUAAUAAUAAUAAUAAUAAUAAUAAUAAUAAUAAUAAUAAUAAUAAUAAUAAUAAUAAUAAUAAUAAUAAUAAUAAUAAUAAUAAUAAUAAUAAUAAUAAUAAUAAUAAUAAUAAUAAUAAUAAUAAUAAUAAUAAUAAUAAUAAUAAUAAUAAUAAUAAUAAUAAUAAUAAUAAUAAUAAUAAUAAUAAUAAUAAUAAUAAUAAUAAUAAUAAUAAUAAUAAUAAUAAUAAUAAUAAUAAUAAUAAUAAUAAUAAUAAUAAUAAUAAUAAUAAUAAUAAUAAUAAUAAUAAUAAUAAUAAUAAUAAUAAUAAUAAUAAUAAUAAUAAUAAUAAUAAUAAUAAUAAUAAUAAUAAUAAUAAUAAUAAUAAUAAUAAUAAUAAUAAUAAUAAUAAUAAUAAUAAUAAUAAUAAUAAUAAUAAUAAUAAUAAUAAUAAUAAUAAUAAUAAUAAUAAUAAUAAUAAUAAUAAUAAUAAUAAUAAUAAUAAUAAUAAUAAUAAUAAUAAUAAUAAUAAUAAUAAUAAUAAUAAUAAUAAUAAUAAUAAUAAUAAUAAUAAUAAUAAUAAUAAUAAUAAUAAUAAUAAUAAUAAUAAUAAUAAUAAUAAUAAUAAUAAUAAUAAUAAUAAUAAUAAUAAUAAUAAUAAUAAUAAUAAUAAUAAUAAUAAUAAUAAUAAUAAUAAUAAUAAUAAUAAUAAUAAUAAUAAUAAUAAUAAUAAUAAUAAUAAUAAUAAUAAUAAUAAUAAUAAUAAUAAUAAUAAUAAUAAUAAUAAUAAUAAUAAUAAUAAUAAUAAUAAUAAUAAUAAUAAUAAUAAUAAUAAUAAUAAUAAUAAUAAUAAUAAUAAUAAUAAUAAUAAUAAUAAUAAUAAUAAUAAUAAUAAUAAUAAUAAUAAUAAUAAUAAUAAUAAUAAUAAUAAUAAUAAUAAUAAUAAUAAUAAUAAUAAUAAUAAUAAUAAUAAUAAUAAUAAUAAUAAUAAUAAUAAUAAUAAUAAUAAUAAUAAUAAUAAUAAUAAUAAUAAUAAUAAUAAUAAUAAUAAUAAUAAUAAUAAUAAUAAUAAUAAUAAUAAUAAUAAUAAUAAUAAUAAUAAUAAUAAUAAUAAUAAUAAUAAUAAUAAUAAUAAUAAUAAUAAUAAUAAUAAUAAUAAUAAUAAUAAUAAUAAUAAUAAUAAUAAUAAUAAUAAUAAUAAUAAUAAUAAUAAUAAUAAUAAUAAUAAUAAUAAUAAUAAUAAUAAUAAUAAUAAUAAUAAUAAUAAUAAUAAUAAUAAUAAUAAUAAUAAUAAUAAUAAUAAUAAUAAUAAUAAUAAUAAUAAUAAUAAUAAUAAUAAUAAUAAUAAUAAUAAUAAUAAUAAUAAUAAUAAUAAUAAUAAUAAUAAUAAUAAUAAUAAUAAUAAUAAUAAUAAUAAUAAUAAUAAUAAUAAUAAUAAUAAUAAUAAUAAUAAUAAUAAUAAUAAUAAUAAUAAUAAUAAUAAUAAUAAUAAUAAUAAUAAUAAUAAUAAUAAUAAUAAUAAUAAUAAUAAUAAUAAUAAUAAUAAUAAUAAUAAUAAUAAUAAUAAUAAUAAUAAUAAUAAUAAUAAUAAUAAUAAUAAUAAUAAUAAUAAUAAUAAUAAUAAUAAUAAUAAUAAUAAUAAUAAUAAUAAUAAUAAUAAUAAUAAUAAUAAUAAUAAUAAUAAUAAUAAUAAUAAUAAUAAUAAUAAUAAUAAUAAUAAUAAUAAUAAUAAUAAUAAUAAUAAUAAUAAUAAUAAUAAUAAUAAUAAUAAUAAUAAUAAUAAUAAUAAUAAUAAUAAUAAUAAUAAUAAUAAUAAUAAUAAUAAUAAUAAUAAUAAUAAUAAUAAUAAUAAUAAUAAUAAUAAUAAUAAUAAUAAUAAUAAUAAUAAUAAUAAUAAUAAUAAUAAUAAUAAUAAUAAUAAUAAUAAUAAUAAUAAUAAUAAUAAUAAUAAUAAUAAUAAUAAUAAUAAUAAUAAUAAUAAUAAUAAUAAUAAUAAUAAUAAUAAUAAUAAUAAUAAUAAUAAUAAUAAUAAUAAUAAUAAUAAUAAUAAUAAUAAUAAUAAUAAUAAUAAUAAUAAUAAUAAUAAUAAUAAUAAUAAUAAUAAUAAUAAUAAUAAUAAUAAUAAUAAUAAUAAUAAUAAUAAUAAUAAUAAUAAUAAUAAUAAUAAUAAUAAUAAUAAUAAUAAUAAUAAUAAUAAUAAUAAUAAUAAUAAUAAUAAUAAUAAUAAUAAUAAUAAUAAUAAUAAUAAUAAUAAUAAUAAUAAUAAUAAUAAUAAUAAUAAUAAUAAUAAUAAUAAUAAUAAUAAUAAUAAUAAUAAUAAUAAUAAUAAUAAUAAUAAUAAUAAUAAUAAUAAUAAUAAUAAUAAUAAUAAUAAUAAUAAUAAUAAUAAUAAUAAUAAUAAUAAUAAUAAUAAUAAUAAUAAUAAUAAUAAUAAUAAUAAUAAUAAUAAUAAUAAUAAUAAUAAUAAUAAUAAUAAUAAUAAUAAUAAUAAUAAUAAUAAUAAUAAUAAUAAUAAUAAUAAUAAUAAUAAUAAUAAUAAUAAUAAUAAUAAUAAUAAUAAUAAUAAUAAUAAUAAUAAUAAUAAUAAUAAUAAUAAUAAUAAUAAUAAUAAUAAUAAUAAUAAUAAUAAUAAUAAUAAUAAUAAUAAUAAUAAUAAUAAUAAUAAUAAUAAUAAUAAUAAUAAUAAUAAUAAUAAUAAUAAUAAUAAUAAUAAUAAUAAUAAUAAUAAUAAUAAUAAUAAUAAUAAUAAUAAUAAUAAUAAUAAUAAUAAUAAUAAUAAUAAUAAUAAUAAUAAUAAUAAUAAUAAUAAUAAUAAUAAUAAUAAUAAUAAUAAUAAUAAUAAUAAUAAUAAUAAUAAUAAUAAUAAUAAUAAUAAUAAUAAUAAUAAUAAUAAUAAUAAUAAUAAUAAUAAUAAUAAUAAUAAUAAUAAUAAUAAUAAUAAUAAUAAUAAUAAUAAUAAUAAUAAUAAUAAUAAUAAUAAUAAUAAUAAUAAUAAUAAUAAUAAUAAUAAUAAUAAUAAUAAUAAUAAUAAUAAUAAUAAUAAUAAUAAUAAUAAUAAUAAUAAUAAUAAUAAUAAUAAUAAUAAUAAUAAUAAUAAUAAUAAUAAUAAUAAUAAUAAUAAUAAUAAUAAUAAUAAUAAUAAUAAUAAUAAUAAUAAUAAUAAUAAUAAUAAUAAUAAUAAUAAUAAUAAUAAUAAUAAUAAUAAUAAUAAUAAUAAUAAUAAUAAUAAUAAUAAUAAUAAUAAUAAUAAUAAUAAUAAUAAUAAUAAUAAUAAUAAUAAUAAUAAUAAUAAUAAUAAUAAUAAUAAUAAUAAUAAUAAUAAUAAUAAUAAUAAUAAUAAUAAUAAUAAUAAUAAUAAUAAUAAUAAUAAUAAUAAUAAUAAUAAUAAUAAUAAUAAUAAUAAUAAUAAUAAUAAUAAUAAUAAUAAUAAUAAUAAUAAUAAUAAUAAUAAUAAUAAUAAUAAUAAUAAUAAUAAUAAUAAUAAUAAUAAUAAUAAUAAUAAUAAUAAUAAUAAUAAUAAUAAUAAUAAUAAUAAUAAUAAUAAUAAUAAUAAUAAUAAUAAUAAUAAUAAUAAUAAUAAUAAUAAUAAUAAUAAUAAUAAUAAUAAUAAUAAUAAUAAUAAUAAUAAUAAUAAUAAUAAUAAUAAUAAUAAUAAUAAUAAUAAUAAUAAUAAUAAUAAUAAUAAUAAUAAUAAUAAUAAUAAUAAUAAUAAUAAUAAUAAUAAUAAUAAUAAUAAUAAUAAUAAUAAUAAUAAUAAUAAUAAUAAUAAUAAUAAUAAUAAUAAUAAUAAUAAUAAUAAUAAUAAUAAUAAUAAUAAUAAUAAUAAUAAUAAUAAUAAUAAUAAUAAUAAUAAUAAUAAUAAUAAUAAUAAUAAUAAUAAUAAUAAUAAUAAUAAUAAUAAUAAUAAUAAUAAUAAUAAUAAUAAUAAUAAUAAUAAUAAUAAUAAUAAUAAUAAUAAUAAUAAUAAUAAUAAUAAUAAUAAUAAUAAUAAUAAUAAUAAUAAUAAUAAUAAUAAUAAUAAUAAUAAUAAUAAUAAUAAUAAUAAUAAUAAUAAUAAUAAUAAUAAUAAUAAUAAUAAUAAUAAUAAUAAUAAUAAUAAUAAUAAUAAUAAUAAUAAUAAUAAUAAUAAUAAUAAUAAUAAUAAUAAUAAUAAUAAUAAUAAUAAUAAUAAUAAUAAUAAUAAUAAUAAUAAUAAUAAUAAUAAUAAUAAUAAUAAUAAUAAUAAUAAUAAUAAUAAUAAUAAUAAUAAUAAUAAUAAUAAUAAUAAUAAUAAUAAUAAUAAUAAUAAUAAUAAUAAUAAUAAUAAUAAUAAUAAUAAUAAUAAUAAUAAUAAUAAUAAUAAUAAUAAUAAUAAUAAUAAUAAUAAUAAUAAUAAUAAUAAUAAUAAUAAUAAUAAUAAUAAUAAUAAUAAUAAUAAUAAUAAUAAUAAUAAUAAUAAUAAUAAUAAUAAUAAUAAUAAUAAUAAUAAUAAUAAUAAUAAUAAUAAUAAUAAUAAUAAUAAUAAUAAUAAUAAUAAUAAUAAUAAUAAUAAUAAUAAUAAUAAUAAUAAUAAUAAUAAUAAUAAUAAUAAUAAUAAUAAUAAUAAUAAUAAUAAUAAUAAUAAUAAUAAUAAUAAUAAUAAUAAUAAUAAUAAUAAUAAUAAUAAUAAUAAUAAUAAUAAUAAUAAUAAUAAUAAUAAUAAUAAUAAUAAUAAUAAUAAUAAUAAUAAUAAUAAUAAUAAUAAUAAUAAUAAUAAUAAUAAUAAUAAUAAUAAUAAUAAUAAUAAUAAUAAUAAUAAUAAUAAUAAUAAUAAUAAUAAUAAUAAUAAUAAUAAUAAUAAUAAUAAUAAUAAUAAUAAUAAUAAUAAUAAUAAUAAUAAUAAUAAUAAUAAUAAUAAUAAUAAUAAUAAUAAUAAUAAUAAUAAUAAUAAUAAUAAUAAUAAUAAUAAUAAUAAUAAUAAUAAUAAUAAUAAUAAUAAUAAUAAUAAUAAUAAUAAUAAUAAUAAUAAUAAUAAUAAUAAUAAUAAUAAUAAUAAUAAUAAUAAUAAUAAUAAUAAUAAUAAUAAUAAUAAUAAUAAUAAUAAUAAUAAUAAUAAUAAUAAUAAUAAUAAUAAUAAUAAUAAUAAUAAUAAUAAUAAUAAUAAUAAUAAUAAUAAUAAUAAUAAUAAUAAUAAUAAUAAUAAUAAUAAUAAUAAUAAUAAUAAUAAUAAUAAUAAUAAUAAUAAUAAUAAUAAUAAUAAUAAUAAUAAUAAUAAUAAUAAUAAUAAUAAUAAUAAUAAUAAUAAUAAUAAUAAUAAUAAUAAUAAUAAUAAUAAUAAUAAUAAUAAUAAUAAUAAUAAUAAUAAUAAUAAUAAUAAUAAUAAUAAUAAUAAUAAUAAUAAUAAUAAUAAUAAUAAUAAUAAUAAUAAUAAUAAUAAUAAUAAUAAUAAUAAUAAUAAUAAUAAUAAUAAUAAUAAUAAUAAUAAUAAUAAUAAUAAUAAUAAUAAUAAUAAUAAUAAUAAUAAUAAUAAUAAUAAUAAUAAUAAUAAUAAUAAUAAUAAUAAUAAUAAUAAUAAUAAUAAUAAUAAUAAUAAUAAUAAUAAUAAUAAUAAUAAUAAUAAUAAUAAUAAUAAUAAUAAUAAUAAUAAUAAUAAUAAUAAUAAUAAUAAUAAUAAUAAUAAUAAUAAUAAUAAUAAUAAUAAUAAUAAUAAUAAUAAUAAUAAUAAUAAUAAUAAUAAUAAUAAUAAUAAUAAUAAUAAUAAUAAUAAUAAUAAUAAUAAUAAUAAUAAUAAUAAUAAUAAUAAUAAUAAUAAUAAUAAUAAUAAUAAUAAUAAUAAUAAUAAUAAUAAUAAUAAUAAUAAUAAUAAUAAUAAUAAUAAUAAUAAUAAUAAUAAUAAUAAUAAUAAUAAUAAUAAUAAUAAUAAUAAUAAUAAUAAUAAUAAUAAUAAUAAUAAUAAUAAUAAUAAUAAUAAUAAUAAUAAUAAUAAUAAUAAUAAUAAUAAUAAUAAUAAUAAUAAUAAUAAUAAUAAUAAUAAUAAUAAUAAUAAUAAUAAUAAUAAUAAUAAUAAUAAUAAUAAUAAUAAUAAUAAUAAUAAUAAUAAUAAUAAUAAUAAUAAUAAUAAUAAUAAUAAUAAUAAUAAUAAUAAUAAUAAUAAUAAUAAUAAUAAUAAUAAUAAUAAUAAUAAUAAUAAUAAUAAUAAUAAUAAUAAUAAUAAUAAUAAUAAUAAUAAUAAUAAUAAUAAUAAUAAUAAUAAUAAUAAUAAUAAUAAUAAUAAUAAUAAUAAUAAUAAUAAUAAUAAUAAUAAUAAUAAUAAUAAUAAUAAUAAUAAUAAUAAUAAUAAUAAUAAUAAUAAUAAUAAUAAUAAUAAUAAUAAUAAUAAUAAUAAUAAUAAUAAUAAUAAUAAUAAUAAUAAUAAUAAUAAUAAUAAUAAUAAUAAUAAUAAUAAUAAUAAUAAUAAUAAUAAUAAUAAUAAUAAUAAUAAUAAUAAUAAUAAUAAUAAUAAUAAUAAUAAUAAUAAUAAUAAUAAUAAUAAUAAUAAUAAUAAUAAUAAUAAUAAUAAUAAUAAUAAUAAUAAUAAUAAUAAUAAUAAUAAUAAUAAUAAUAAUAAUAAUAAUAAUAAUAAUAAUAAUAAUAAUAAUAAUAAUAAUAAUAAUAAUAAUAAUAAUAAUAAUAAUAAUAAUAAUAAUAAUAAUAAUAAUAAUAAUAAUAAUAAUAAUAAUAAUAAUAAUAAUAAUAAUAAUAAUAAUAAUAAUAAUAAUAAUAAUAAUAAUAAUAAUAAUAAUAAUAAUAAUAAUAAUAAUAAUAAUAAUAAUAAUAAUAAUAAUAAUAAUAAUAAUAAUAAUAAUAAUAAUAAUAAUAAUAAUAAUAAUAAUAAUAAUAAUAAUAAUAAUAAUAAUAAUAAUAAUAAUAAUAAUAAUAAUAAUAAUAAUAAUAAUAAUAAUAAUAAUAAUAAUAAUAAUAAUAAUAAUAAUAAUAAUAAUAAUAAUAAUAAUAAUAAUAAUAAUAAUAAUAAUAAUAAUAAUAAUAAUAAUAAUAAUAAUAAUAAUAAUAAUAAUAAUAAUAAUAAUAAUAAUAAUAAUAAUAAUAAUAAUAAUAAUAAUAAUAAUAAUAAUAAUAAUAAUAAUAAUAAUAAUAAUAAUAAUAAUAAUAAUAAUAAUAAUAAUAAUAAUAAUAAUAAUAAUAAUAAUAAUAAUAAUAAUAAUAAUAAUAAUAAUAAUAAUAAUAAUAAUAAUAAUAAUAAUAAUAAUAAUAAUAAUAAUAAUAAUAAUAAUAAUAAUAAUAAUAAUAAUAAUAAUAAUAAUAAUAAUAAUAAUAAUAAUAAUAAUAAUAAUAAUAAUAAUAAUAAUAAUAAUAAUAAUAAUAAUAAUAAUAAUAAUAAUAAUAAUAAUAAUAAUAAUAAUAAUAAUAAUAAUAAUAAUAAUAAUAAUAAUAAUAAUAAUAAUAAUAAUAAUAAUAAUAAUAAUAAUAAUAAUAAUAAUAAUAAUAAUAAUAAUAAUAAUAAUAAUAAUAAUAAUAAUAAUAAUAAUAAUAAUAAUAAUAAUAAUAAUAAUAAUAAUAAUAAUAAUAAUAAUAAUAAUAAUAAUAAUAAUAAUAAUAAUAAUAAUAAUAAUAAUAAUAAUAAUAAUAAUAAUAAUAAUAAUAAUAAUAAUAAUAAUAAUAAUAAUAAUAAUAAUAAUAAUAAUAAUAAUAAUAAUAAUAAUAAUAAUAAUAAUAAUAAUAAUAAUAAUAAUAAUAAUAAUAAUAAUAAUAAUAAUAAUAAUAAUAAUAAUAAUAAUAAUAAUAAUAAUAAUAAUAAUAAUAAUAAUAAUAAUAAUAAUAAUAAUAAUAAUAAUAAUAAUAAUAAUAAUAAUAAUAAUAAUAAUAAUAAUAAUAAUAAUAAUAAUAAUAAUAAUAAUAAUAAUAAUAAUAAUAAUAAUAAUAAUAAUAAUAAUAAUAAUAAUAAUAAUAAUAAUAAUAAUAAUAAUAAUAAUAAUAAUAAUAAUAAUAAUAAUAAUAAUAAUAAUAAUAAUAAUAAUAAUAAUAAUAAUAAUAAUAAUAAUAAUAAUAAUAAUAAUAAUAAUAAUAAUAAUAAUAAUAAUAAUAAUAAUAAUAAUAAUAAUAAUAAUAAUAAUAAUAAUAAUAAUAAUAAUAAUAAUAAUAAUAAUAAUAAUAAUAAUAAUAAUAAUAAUAAUAAUAAUAAUAAUAAUAAUAAUAAUAAUAAUAAUAAUAAUAAUAAUAAUAAUAAUAAUAAUAAUAAUAAUAAUAAUAAUAAUAAUAAUAAUAAUAAUAAUAAUAAUAAUAAUAAUAAUAAUAAUAAUAAUAAUAAUAAUAAUAAUAAUAAUAAUAAUAAUAAUAAUAAUAAUAAUAAUAAUAAUAAUAAUAAUAAUAAUAAUAAUAAUAAUAAUAAUAAUAAUAAUAAUAAUAAUAAUAAUAAUAAUAAUAAUAAUAAUAAUAAUAAUAAUAAUAAUAAUAAUAAUAAUAAUAAUAAUAAUAAUAAUAAUAAUAAUAAUAAUAAUAAUAAUAAUAAUAAUAAUAAUAAUAAUAAUAAUAAUAAUAAUAAUAAUAAUAAUAAUAAUAAUAAUAAUAAUAAUAAUAAUAAUAAUAAUAAUAAUAAUAAUAAUAAUAAUAAUAAUAAUAAUAAUAAUAAUAAUAAUAAUAAUAAUAAUAAUAAUAAUAAUAAUAAUAAUAAUAAUAAUAAUAAUAAUAAUAAUAAUAAUAAUAAUAAUAAUAAUAAUAAUAAUAAUAAUAAUAAUAAUAAUAAUAAUAAUAAUAAUAAUAAUAAUAAUAAUAAUAAUAAUAAUAAUAAUAAUAAUAAUAAUAAUAAUAAUAAUAAUAAUAAUAAUAAUAAUAAUAAUAAUAAUAAUAAUAAUAAUAAUAAUAAUAAUAAUAAUAAUAAUAAUAAUAAUAAUAAUAAUAAUAAUAAUAAUAAUAAUAAUAAUAAUAAUAAUAAUAAUAAUAAUAAUAAUAAUAAUAAUAAUAAUAAUAAUAAUAAUAAUAAUAAUAAUAAUAAUAAUAAUAAUAAUAAUAAUAAUAAUAAUAAUAAUAAUAAUAAUAAUAAUAAUAAUAAUAAUAAUAAUAAUAAUAAUAAUAAUAAUAAUAAUAAUAAUAAUAAUAAUAAUAAUAAUAAUAAUAAUAAUAAUAAUAAUAAUAAUAAUAAUAAUAAUAAUAAUAAUAAUAAUAAUAAUAAUAAUAAUAAUAAUAAUAAUAAUAAUAAUAAUAAUAAUAAUAAUAAUAAUAAUAAUAAUAAUAAUAAUAAUAAUAAUAAUAAUAAUAAUAAUAAUAAUAAUAAUAAUAAUAAUAAUAAUAAUAAUAAUAAUAAUAAUAAUAAUAAUAAUAAUAAUAAUAAUAAUAAUAAUAAUAAUAAUAAUAAUAAUAAUAAUAAUAAUAAUAAUAAUAAUAAUAAUAAUAAUAAUAAUAAUAAUAAUAAUAAUAAUAAUAAUAAUAAUAAUAAUAAUAAUAAUAAUAAUAAUAAUAAUAAUAAUAAUAAUAAUAAUAAUAAUAAUAAUAAUAAUAAUAAUAAUAAUAAUAAUAAUAAUAAUAAUAAUAAUAAUAAUAAUAAUAAUAAUAAUAAUAAUAAUAAUAAUAAUAAUAAUAAUAAUAAUAAUAAUAAUAAUAAUAAUAAUAAUAAUAAUAAUAAUAAUAAUAAUAAUAAUAAUAAUAAUAAUAAUAAUAAUAAUAAUAAUAAUAAUAAUAAUAAUAAUAAUAAUAAUAAUAAUAAUAAUAAUAAUAAUAAUAAUAAUAAUAAUAAUAAUAAUAAUAAUAAUAAUAAUAAUAAUAAUAAUAAUAAUAAUAAUAAUAAUAAUAAUAAUAAUAAUAAUAAUAAUAAUAAUAAUAAUAAUAAUAAUAAUAAUAAUAAUAAUAAUAAUAAUAAUAAUAAUAAUAAUAAUAAUAAUAAUAAUAAUAAUAAUAAUAAUAAUAAUAAUAAUAAUAAUAAUAAUAAUAAUAAUAAUAAUAAUAAUAAUAAUAAUAAUAAUAAUAAUAAUAAUAAUAAUAAUAAUAAUAAUAAUAAUAAUAAUAAUAAUAAUAAUAAUAAUAAUAAUAAUAAUAAUAAUAAUAAUAAUAAUAAUAAUAAUAAUAAUAAUAAUAAUAAUAAUAAUAAUAAUAAUAAUAAUAAUAAUAAUAAUAAUAAUAAUAAUAAUAAUAAUAAUAAUAAUAAUAAUAAUAAUAAUAAUAAUAAUAAUAAUAAUAAUAAUAAUAAUAAUAAUAAUAAUAAUAAUAAUAAUAAUAAUAAUAAUAAUAAUAAUAAUAAUAAUAAUAAUAAUAAUAAUAAUAAUAAUAAUAAUAAUAAUAAUAAUAAUAAUAAUAAUAAUAAUAAUAAUAAUAAUAAUAAUAAUAAUAAUAAUAAUAAUAAUAAUAAUAAUAAUAAUAAUAAUAAUAAUAAUAAUAAUAAUAAUAAUAAUAAUAAUAAUAAUAAUAAUAAUAAUAAUAAUAAUAAUAAUAAUAAUAAUAAUAAUAAUAAUAAUAAUAAUAAUAAUAAUAAUAAUAAUAAUAAUAAUAAUAAUAAUAAUAAUAAUAAUAAUAAUAAUAAUAAUAAUAAUAAUAAUAAUAAUAAUAAUAAUAAUAAUAAUAAUAAUAAUAAUAAUAAUAAUAAUAAUAAUAAUAAUAAUAAUAAUAAUAAUAAUAAUAAUAAUAAUAAUAAUAAUAAUAAUAAUAAUAAUAAUAAUAAUAAUAAUAAUAAUAAUAAUAAUAAUAAUAAUAAUAAUAAUAAUAAUAAUAAUAAUAAUAAUAAUAAUAAUAAUAAUAAUAAUAAUAAUAAUAAUAAUAAUAAUAAUAAUAAUAAUAAUAAUAAUAAUAAUAAUAAUAAUAAUAAUAAUAAUAAUAAUAAUAAUAAUAAUAAUAAUAAUAAUAAUAAUAAUAAUAAUAAUAAUAGAGAAGAGAAAAAUUAGAUCUAGGGUUUCUUUCUUUUUCUCCAAUCCAAAAAUCCCCCCUUUUCACAAUAGAUUCCUCCCUUAAAUACUCUCUCUCUCUUCUCCUCUAGAAUUCUAUUUAAAAUAAAAUACUAACAUCUGAAAUAUUAAAUUCGUAAUUACAAAAAUAACCAAAAAUACAAAACACGUUAAACUAAAAACUGCAGGUCCGCAGUUGACAGCACGCGCCCACGCCUUAUCAACAAAGUUCUUCUGACGCUCAUAAUUUCUCCAAGAGAACAAUCAUCCUUAAACAUCAUCUUAUAGCUCAAUUUUAUCAUCAAUCAAUAGAAUUGCACCUACAAAAGUAAAACAUAAGUAAAUCACUAUUAUUAAGUGCAAAACAUUGAUAUUAAGGGAAGUAAAUAAUGCAAAACUAGUGCAUAAAUUGCACUCUAACAGUAAUCAGUAAUCAGCAUUAAAAAUUAAAUUAAAUUAAAUUUUUUUGUUUUUAAUAUUAUUUAGUUAUAGACUUAUUAUUAUAUUUAUUCGUUCAUAAAACUAAAUAAUGUUAAAUCAAAUAAAAUAAUCAGGAAUGGUUCUUAAAAAAUUAAUAUUAUUUAUUUUAUUUUAUUUAAUAUUAUUUAGUCAUAGCCUAUUAUUCUGUUUAUUUUUUGAAAAUUAAAUAAUAUUAAAUAAAAUAGAAUAGAAAAUGUGAGUCCUUAAAAAUAAAAAUUAUUUUUAAUAUUAUUUAUUUUAUUUAAAAGAAUAAAUUUUUUAAUAUUUUUAUUUUAUUAAAAAAUAUUAUUUAAUAUUAUCUAGUCAUAGGCUUAUUAUUAUAUUUCUUCUUUUAGAAAGUUAAAUAGUAUUAAAUGAAAUAAAAUUACAUUUUAGAAGGUCAUUAGCCAAAGCACAUAAACUUAUAAACAAAUGGAAAUAAAAAAGGUAAAUAAUAUUCAAUAAAAUAAAAUUACAUUUUAAAAGGUCACCAACCAAAGCACAUAAUAUUAUAACAAAAAUGUAAAUAAAAAAGAAAGUAAGAGAUUCAAUGAAAUUUAACAUCACAAAAGACAAUUUCAAAAAUUGGGGGUAGCUUGCAACUGUUGCAAAGUGGCUGGUUCCAUAAUUUUGAGAUAAUGUUUCGGUUUCAAAUAUUGUUAUCGAUACCUAAUUAUAAGUAAUAAAAAAAUAUUGUAUAAUUUUUUUACCAACAUUUACAAUACAUUUUAUUUUGAUUUCUGAAAAAAAUAGAUAAAACACAAAUUAAUUAUUUUAACCCUCUAUUCUCUCAAUAUUUAAACUCGAAUAAUCAGUUAAAAGUUGCUCGAGAAUGUUUAAAAGCCAUUUAAGUAUACCACGUCAUUCAUGUUUUGCAAUCAUUCAAUUGUUAAUAAGUUUCCCAUGUGCUGAAAAUAAAUAAAAAUGCACGUGCAUAUGUCAUAUUGUCUCCGAAACCUCACAGCGGAAUGAGUGUAGUACUUGCAAUGCAUGUACUUUAGACUUUGUAUUUCUCUUAUUUAAAUGAUCAAUAAUUUUUCUUUGUCCUUUAAUUAGACGUCAACAGUCGAAGUUGUGGGCAGGUAGUAGGCUAUAUAUAAUAAUUUCCUGGAGAUCUUCCGUCUUCUAAGACAUUGCAAAUGCCAAACGUGAUAACUAUUUUGAUAAUUCAAAUACUACAUAAAAUAUAUGAAGUGUCAGACAAGUCAAAAGAAUUGAUUCUUCACAAUUGUAUAUACGUAUACACACACUUUGCCCAAAUCCCAUUGUAUCCAGGCUGUAAUUUUUAUAUUAAACGAACAUAUUUUAUUUUAUGUCAGCAAUAUUGAUGCAGGCUGGGGGAACAACAGCUUCAGGAUGGUCAACUACCCUUCGGAUCAUUGCAAGUGGGAUGGCAUCACUUGCAAUUCAGAUGGAAGCAUAAUCAGGCUAAAAUUAUCAUGGUGUGAUGUUGACUUCAAAAGGUAAUCUUCGUAAAAUUAUCAUGGUAUAAUAUACGUAUUUAUUUUCGCAUACAUAAAUAAAUAACAAAAUUGUAAUUAAUUGGAUACAGCUUCAGCUUUUGGACUGGUUUGUGAAAAUCAGAAAAAUUUAAAAAUGCUCCUCUUGAACAAUCAAAAUCUACUUUAUACGUGAACAAAGGGGAUGAUUCGUAAAGAUAGUUCAUCAAUGUUUGAUUGCUUUCAAGCGUGUCGAUUACUUUCAGAAAGAAAGACUUCAUUUGAUCUCGUCACAAAACAUAAUUUCACUUUGAAUUUGAAAAAGAAUAAUGAAGUUCAUACAAGUGCUGUUAUGACCUUUUUUUUUUUGUUUUCUUUUUUUCUCGACGUUGUUUUGUGAAUCAUAAGGGUUAAUUUAAUACGGUGGGUUCGCUUGUAUGAAGCGCACUUAUUGUACCAUUCUGUUGCAAGCAAUGAAAAAACGCUAUAAUUUUUUUAAGUUUCUACAAGUAUUAUGUUAUCUUAUAUCUAAAUGUGCAUCUCUAGUCUUUGCUCUCAGUUCAGGUUCUCUAAAAGUAUAUUAAUUAUGAAAAGCAUUAAAGGUUCCGAAACUCUAUUUUGCGGGGAAAAAGAACCUCCAUUUUUGGUUUUUUAUUAUAUGAGAUUUUACUAUGCUCGUAAUAACUUAAUCGAAAUUAAACAUAUCACUGGUCUACAUUUUUUUAUAAGAUUUUGUGACUUGCUAAUUAAGAUGAGUAUCACCAUCAAAUCAACAAGCUUAUACCUUCAAAGAAAAAUAGACUAUAAGUCGGGAGAAAGAAGAAAAAAAAAAAAAAAAGAAUCUUCGCAAUUUAUGCUGUUGGUUGUGAGUUCAUGAAACAAAUAAAAAUAUGAAAUCAAACAUUUAUUCAAAAUUUAAAAUUAAAAAAAAAACUCUAUAUCUACAGUAAUCUGUUCAAACCACAUAGGUGGAGCAAUAUAGUUCCAAGACGUGGUUUUAAAACAUGUCUUUGUGAUAAACAAUAUCGUGAUACUUGCGCCAAUUCCCAUGGCAAUAAUUGCCUACAUUUAUCCAAGAUCCAUGGCCAGGUUUAGAAUGUGCUAGUCUUCUUUCACUUUCAUAAAUAACCACUACUAGGUAAUCAGAGUGUCGGUCUAAAUUUUUCGGAGAUACAACGUCAAUGUAUGUGCCCGGAGUUGAAGCUGAACGCGCUUAAAUAUGUUCGGAAUUUGAAGUUGAACGCCUGGAAAAGGAUGCAGACUGAAGAAAGGCAAUUCCUGGAAUUUGUCUUUGGUAAGAAAACAUGGCUGCUUAUGCCCUUUGAAAGACUGAAGAAACCAAAUUGAUUAUUGCUGCAAUUUAGUGGCACAUGUACGAGGAGAGGCAUCCAAUUAAACUUGUUCAUAAAAGUAUUGCUGAUAGUUGCAGCCGAUCUCCAGACAAAAUCUUCGUACAAUUUUAUCCGCCAGCAAUUUCGACCAAGAGACCUUGAUGCAGUUCAGACCAAUUCGCCAGUUGAACAUCAAGUUGCCUAGGCAUUGAGAAUUAGGUCAAUAAAAUAUAUCCUGGGUCACUUACAAAAGAUGAAAUAAGUGAAAAAGGAAAGAUGACGUAAUAAUUUCUUAGUGAGAAAAGUUAGUUAAUUUGCAAAGGUCUUAGAUAAUCAAUUUGAUGUAAAAAUAUCAAAAUUUUUUUUAAUCAGUGAAAUAUUCAACCUCUAGUUUCAGCACUACAAAUGAAUUAAAUAGAAUAAUGAUAGAUAUUUUAAAAUUUUAUCCCAAAUGAUGUGAUAUGUAAUGUAUCAUUCAUUAAGUAGUUGAUGAUUUUUUUAUAAAUUUUAAGUGGAUUAAUUAUAUUAUUUUACCAACGAGUAAAUAAAUGUCACAUCAUUAGAGAAGAAAUUUUAAGGUAAAACUUUUCAAAUAUAUAUCACUACUCCAUUAAAUAUGGUAUAAAAAAUCUAAUAGGGACCAAAAAUAUAAAAACCCAUUAAAAAUAAAAAAUAUAAAAGUCAAUUCCUAAUUAGAAGAAUGAAAGUUUGUUUCUCCUACAAUCAUUUCACUAGAUUUUAAAUAAAUUAAUUAAUGAAAAUUUUUAAUAACAAAUCGGUGCCUAAACCUAACGUCUUUUUUUUUUUGGUCUUAUCCACGAGGUAUCCUGGGGAGGGCCCCAACUGUGGGAGGCACCUUUAAGCCCGUACCACAACCCAGACUAGAAGUCCCCGCUCGAACCGGGAGGCACAGGUUCUCCCAACAAAGGCGACUUCCCCGCGACUCGAACUGGGGAGCAAACCCAGUCAAGCCACUUAAGGGGACUCCAUUGCCAGUGGAGCCAACACUUUGUUGGUUAAACCUAACGUCUUUGACAGUGCUGCCAAUAUCACUCACAACUUACAAGAAAAUUUUGGUAUUAAAUUUAUUAAUGUUCUCAAGGAAUUUUUAGUUUGACUUUGCAUUCUCAGACCCAUUUGUCACAUAACACGUUAGCAAAGACCUUUAAUGAGAAUAUUAAAACAGCUGUCGAAUAAGCAUCUUGACGACGACUUUUUGACAUAUAUGCAUGCCUCCUUUUGUGAACAAAUUUGAAACAUAAAAGAAAAUUUUGAUCCAUGUGAGAGCUGGAGUAUUUUAUAGCUUUUGACCUCAUUAAUUAUGAGUAAGGGAAUAUUUCUACGUCACUAACGAUUAACAUGAUCACUAUAUAAAGGGAAGCAAAGUAUGUUUAGCAUCAAGUCAGAAAACACAAUUUUUAGGAAAUGGGAACUCUAGGACAGGCGAAGCAAUGGCCUCAAUUGGUUUGUGCUAUGGCAUUUUUGCUCAUAGCCACCACAACCGCAAAGGCAUCAGCUGAUGAUUAUGGCCCAGCACCAUCACCAAAGCAUGCAAAGCACCCUCCAAGCCAUUACAAGCCACCGAAACCACCAAAGCACCACGAGUCACCACCACCAUACUACUAUAACUCACCACCUCCACCAGUACAUUCUCCUCCACCACCUUAUUACUAUAAGUCUCCACCACCACCUUCUCUAUCUCCACCACCUCCUUACUAUUAUAAAUCACCACCACCACCGAAACAUUCUCCUCCACCUCCUUACUACUACAAAUCACCACCUCCUCCUUCUCCCUCUCCACCUCCACCAUAUUAUUACAAGUCUCCCCCACCACCAUCUCCAUCUCCCCCACCGCCUUACUACUAUAAAUCCCCACCACCACCAAAAUAUUCUCCUCCACCACCUUACUACUAUAAGUCACCACCUCCACCAGUGAAAUCUCCACCUCCGCCAUAUUACUAUAAAUCACCACCACCACCAAAACAUUCUCCCCCACCACCUUACUACUACAAGUCACCACCACCACCAAUGCAUUCUCCCCCACCACCUUACUAUUACAAAUCUCCACCACCACCAAAGCAUUCUCCUCCACCACCACCUUAUUACAAAUCACCACCCCCACCACCACCAAAACAUUCUCCCCCACCACCUUACUACUAUAAAUCUCCACCGCCACCAAAACAUUCUCCUCCUCCACCAUACUACUAUAAGUCACCACCUCCACCUGUAAAGUCUCCACCUCCACCACCUCACUACAAAUCACCACCACCACCAAAACAGUCUCCUCCACCACCUUAUUACUACAAGUCACCACCCCCACCAGUAAAGUCUCCACCACAGCCACCAAAGCAUUCUCCCCCGCCACCUUACUAUUACAAAUCACCACCUCCACCAAUGAAGUCUCCACCACCGCCACCUUACUAUAAAUCACCACCACCACCAAAUUCUCCCCCUCCACCUUACUAUUACAAAUCACCACCACCACCAAAGCAUUCCCCCCCGCCACCUUAUUACUAUAGAUCUCCACCACCACCAAAGUAUUCUCCCCCACCACCUUACUACUAUAAGUCACCACCUCCACCAAAGCAUUCUCCCCCGCCUCCUUACUAUUACAAAUCUCCACCACCACCUUACUAAUACAAAUCUCCACCACCACCAUCUCUAUCCCCACCUCCAUCUUCCAUUUACACCGCCACCAUCUACAUCACCUCCACCACCAUCUCCAUCAUUGUCACUAUUGCCUUCCGACUACUCCAUGUGAUCACCACCUCCCGAAGACUUCUAAGUUCAAUGUCCCUUCUUGAAACAAGUUUAAAAUUCAAUAAGAAAAAAUGUGUUCCUUCGGUUGCCCUUUUUAUGAUUUUUUAUGUUAAUGUUUUUAUGAAUAAUUUGUAAGAAGCGUUGGGUGUAUCAUUUGUCAUGUGCAAUAAAAAUUUCUAACUUGAUGUAUCCUAAAAAAAAAGUAUUGUGCCAAAAGAAUUAUUCUAUUGUUUUAUCACAAAUGUGUUGUGGCACAUGUAAUGCGCCUGGAUGAAGUAAUAUUAUGUCUUAAUGAAUAAUCAUGCACAACAGUGAUCAUGUACAUAGUUCUUCCAAUGUCAUGAUAAUGUCCAUGCACGUAAUAAAUAACUUCUUCCUUAUAAUAUCAAAGAAAAUGAAGAUACAAACCUUUUAUUCUCUAAUCAUUUAGUCAAACAAAAUUGUUUUAAUUUAGGUUUUGAUCAAUCUUAAUGCUAAUAAAUUCUAACUACAAAUCAAAUACAAUAUCAGCAAAAAUCAUAUUUUAAAUGAAUCAAAAAACAAACACUAGACUUAACCAAGCAGUUAACCUUUAUUAUUCUCCUCAGCAAAGGAUACAAAGAUGUAGGUAGAUUACAAGUUAUCACUGAAAAAAUAGAAAUCAUCUAAAAUGGUGAACAAAUGAGCUCUAAAUAUGUUGCACUCAUUUGUUCAACUAAGCAAUAGAAUUACCCUUUUCCAUUUUAACUGCUUGUCUGCUUUAGCAUGGCAACUUUAAAUAACACCCUUCAACUUGAAAAUUUUGAAUAACCAGAGCGAUCAAUAAUUGUAAAUCUUGAAAAAAAAAAUUUAGUUUAAUUAAAGCCAUAAACAUAAUAUUAAAUAAAAUGAAAAAAAGGUAGUAAACGUAGUGUUGAACUACUUUAUACUUGUGAACUAACUUUUGAUGUUGAUUAAGAUCAUGGACCCUCAACUUUUGUAUUAUGAAUAUGCUCAUGUCCUAUCUUAGGUCUCCUCUAUAAACCACCUUUUUUUAAAAAAUUAUAUUCAUUAUGAUACUAAGGUACAAGCAGAAGUAAGAUUCCUUUAAUAUUUUUGUAACCAGGAUGUGGCAACCUAGGUGAUACGUGAAUUGGUUUUUUGCACAUUUUGCUAUAUUUUUUUGUGUGUAUGCUUGCUGUUUUUCUCUUUGUUCCAACAAUUUCCACAUGAGGAUAAUCUCAUUUUAACAAAGAAAGAUACCACUAAAUUACUACAAAACAUGAAUUCUAAUAUACUAGAAACUAUUCUUUUUUUUUUUUGCCUUUUCAUAUAUUAGAGUUAUGUUUUUAUCAUCUUAGUGGCAUAUAUGCAUUUUAACUAAAUGAGAAUAUUCUCAUUUCAGAAUUAUUAAUAAGAGAGUAGUAGACAAAUGAUACAAAACUAUGCUGCUUUACUAUUAACAACACAUUCAAUGGAGUAAUGAUAGAGAGUAAAUUCUAACACCACAUGAAAACAAACAAAAGUUGAAAUAUUUUAGCUAAUACGUUUAAAGUUUGAAUUAGUAAUAAAAUUGUCUCAGAAAACUGCCUUAAUGGAAUUAAUGUGAGAUUUAUUGGUCGGUUGUAUCAAUAUCAUUUUCCGGAAAAAAAAAAUUUAGUCAAAAUAUGAAAGGUUUGUUCUGCAAGUGGUUGAUAUUGCUGUACAUUAAUAUCAAAGAUACAUUAAGUUCGUACCAAAUUUUAUUAUAAAAUUCAUAAAUGUAUAAGUAGAAGAUUUUAUAAAUUAAUUCCAGGUAAAACGUCGGUGAUGUGAAUAAAUGGUGAAGAGAAAGCUCUAAUAAUUAUAGUAAUAACAGUGAGAAGCUAGCUCAUCAUCGAGUUGUAAGAUAUAUUUUUGAAUUUUCUUGAACACGCUUUGACGUACGAUUAGCAAAAAAGUCUGUCUAUGAGCAAUCGGUCGUACACAGCUUAACUAAACCAUUGACAUUGUAAUUAAUUGAUGAGCUUUUUCUAAUUUCUAUGAAUCAAAUGCAGAUAUUUAGUGGGCAACUACCAACCCUUGCUUGGCAAAAUAUAGGAAAGAAAAACGUGAAAUUUAUAAAUGUUACAUUUUUUUAGAUGAAUAAUUUUGAGAUAAUGUUUCAGUUUCCGAUAUUGUUAUCUAUACCUAAUUAUAGAUAAUAAAGAAAUAUUUUCUAAUUUUUUUUAUCAACAUUUACAAUACAUUUUAUUUUUAUUUCUAAAAAAAUAGAUAAAGCACAAAUUAAUUAUUUUAACCCUCUAUCUUCACAAUAUUUAAACUCGAAUAAUCAGUUAAAGUUGUUCGAGAAUGUUUAAAUGCCAUUUAAGUAUACCACGUCAUUCAUAUUUUGCAAUCAUCCAAUUGUGAGGAUUCCCAUGUACUGAAAAUAAAUAGAAAUACACAUGCAUAUGUCAUAUUGUCUCUGAACCGCAGAAUGAUUGUAGUACUUGCAAUGCGUGUAUUUUAGACUUUGUCUUUCUCUGAUUUAAAUGAUCUAUAAUUUUCCUUUGUCCUUUAAUUAGAAGUCAGCAGUCAAAGUUGUGGGCAAGUAGGAUAUAUAUAGUAAUUUCCUUGAGAUCUUCUGUCUUCUAAGACAUUGUAAACACCAAACGUGAUCACUAUUUUGAUCAUUCAAAUACUACAUAAAAUAUAUGAAAUGUGAGACAAGUCAAAAGAAUUGAUUCUUCACAAUUGUAUAUAGUAUUAUUUGAUUCUGCCUCCCACCUAUACACACACACACACACACACACACACACACACAUAUACCCUGAGCAGGAUUUACAUUUUGUCUUUACAUUUUCCACAACGCCUUUAAUUUUUACAGUGAUUAAAAAAGGCCAAAAUAUUGAUGUAUUACCUCCAACUACUAUUUAGACUUUGUUCAAAUCCCAUUGUAUCCAGGCUGUAAUUUUUAUAUUAAACAAACAUAUUUUAUUUUAUGUCAGCAAUAUUGAUGACAAGAUCACUAUAUAAAGAGUAGCAACUAGGUUGUUUAUACAAGUCACAAAACAUAAUUUCACUUUGAAUUUUAAAAAGAUUAAUGAAGUUCAUACAAAUGCUAUUAUGGAUUUUUUUUUCUUUGGACGUUGUUUUGUGAAUCAUAAGGGUUAAUUUAAUAAGGUGGGUUCACUUGUAUAAAGCGCACUCAUUUUACCAUACUGUUGCAAGCAAUGAAAAAACGCUAUAAUCUUUUUAAGUUUCUACAAGUAUUAUGUUAUCAUAUAUCCAAAUGUGCAUCUGUAUUCUUUGCUCUCAGUUCCGGUUCUCUAGAAGUAUGUUAAUUAUGAAAAGCAUUAAAGGUUCCAAAACUCUAUUUUGCGGGGAAAAAGAACCUCCAUUUUUGGUUUUUUAUUAUAUGAGGUUUUACCGCGCUCGUAAUAACUUAAUCGAAAUUAAACUUAUCACUGGUCUAUAUUUUUUAUCAGAUUUUGUGACUAACUAAGAUGAGUAUCACCAGCAAAUCAACAAAGCUAAUACCUUUGUCUACUCGUUCAAAGGAAAAUAGAGUACAAGCCGGGAGAGGGGGAAAAAUGCUUAGCAAUUUAUACUGUUGGUUGCGAUAUCAUGCAACAAAUAAAUAUAUGAAAUCAAACAUACAUCCAAAAUUUAAAGUAAAAAAAAAAAAUCUAAAUCUUGAGUAAUCUAGCUGAAAUUCUGUUCAACCCACAUAGGUGGAGCAAUAUAGUUCCAAGACUUGGUUUUAAAACAUGUCUUUGUAAUAAACAACAUCAUGAUGCUUGCGCCAAUUCCCAUUCCGAUAAUUGCCUAUAUUGAUCCAAGAUCCAUGGCCAGGUUUAGAAUGUGCUAGUAUUCUUUCUCUUCCAUAAAUAACCAUUACUAUGUAAUCGGAGUGCGGUCUAAAUUUUUCGGGGAUAAAACGUCAAUGUAUGUGCCGGAAGUUGAAGCUGAAUGCACUUAAAUAUGUUCGGAAUUUGAAGUUGAACGCCUGAAAAAGGGUGCAGACUGAAGAAAGGCAAUUCCUGGAAUUUUUUUUGGUAAGAAAACAUGACUGCUUAUGUCCUUUGAAAGACUGAAGAAACCAAAUUGAUUAUUGCUGCAAUUUAGUGGCACGUGUACAAGGAGAGGCAUCCGAUUAAACUUGUUCAUAAAAUUAUUGCUGAUAGUUGCAGCCGAUCUCCAUGAAGUACAAACCCAACGCAAAGAAACAAAGUGUUCGUACAAUUUUAUCCGCCAGCAAUUUCGACCAAGAGACCUUGAUGCAGUUCAGACCAAUCACCACUUGAGCAUUUGUUAGGAAAUUGGUGGAUGAAGCAGACACGCAUCUAAAAUAAAAUUGGAAGAAAAAUAAAGAACAAGCACAAAAAGGACACCAAGAAAUUACGUGGUUCGACUUUUAGCCUACGUCCACAGACGAAUACAGAAGGAAAAUAUUUUACUAGUGAAAAGAAGUUACAAGUAUUGUGAUAUUUUAACUCACUACCCAAAAUCUCAAUACACCCAAACUCUCAAAACACUAAUCACUCAAGAGUUUAUUAAACUCUUAAUACUCUCAAUUUCCUAUAGGAAGGAAAUGCUUCUCUCUCGAUGGAAUGCUUCAGCUCUUCAUCUGCACUUCUAUUUAUAGAAAAAUAAUGGCCAAGAAAUCAACGAUUUUAGCCCAACAAUUAUGGCUUCAAUUUCGUCAAUCUGUGUGGCUUCAAUUUUGUCAAUCUAGCGUUCAAAAUUUGUGGGUUGUGUUCUCCAUUUUCUUUGAUUUGCUGGCACCAAAGUCAAGUACCAAAUUUGGUGCUGACUUUUAGGUGUUUGCUUUGACAUUCUCCCACUUGGAGAUUAAAUUGAAAAUUAAUCAAUCUCCACACCAUCCUUUCUAUUUCGUCAUAAUCAUGUUGCCUACAUUUCUGCUAGGCCAUAAGAGGAUCUACUUCAGACAAACUUGUCAAUAUUUAUUGGCUUGGUCAAAACAUCUGCUAGGUCUUCCACUACUUCUCGAAUGAAGUGAUACUGACUUCCUAUAUGCUUUGUCCUGGAAUGAAAUACUGAAUUUCUUGCAAUAUGCAAGGCACUCUAACUGUCACAAUACACAUAAAAUUUCUCUUGUUUGUACCCGAGCUUCUCCAAUAACCUUUGUAUCCAGAUAGCUUCCUUGUAAGCUUGUGUAGCUGCCAUGUAUUCUGCUUCUGUUGUAGAUAAAGCCACAACGAUCUGCAGUUUCGAAACCCAGCAUACAACUCCUCCUGCAAGUGUAAACACAUAACCAGUAGUUGAUUUUCUUUUAUCAAUGUCUCCUACAAAAUCUAAAUCCACGUAGCCCCUAAUAGUAAAUUCUUAUCCUCCAUAACAUAAUAUAACAUCUGAGGUUCCUCUGAUAUAUCUCAGAAUCCUCUUUACAGCUAUUCAAUGCUCUCCACCACGAUUCGCCAUGUAUCGACUGACUGCUCCCACUGCUUGUGCAAUGUCUAGUCUAGUACAUAUCAUAGCGAAUAUCAAACUUCCCACUGUUGAUGCAUACGGUACUCGAGACAUCUCCUUCCUCUCUGCUUCAUUGUUAGGACACAUACUUGAGGAUAAUUUGAAAUUAACAGGAAGUGGGGUAGAAAUUGGCUUACGAUACUGCAUGUUGAAGCGUCACAAGAUUUUCUUCAAGUAGUUCUUCUGAGAAAGCCAAAUCUUCAUGUUAUUUCUGUCUCGGUGAAUUUACAUCCCUAGAAUCUUGUUUGCUGAUCCCAAGUCCUUCAUUUCAAACUCUCUAGCUAAUUGUGCCUUCAAUUCUUGGAUUCGAUCUUUGUUAAGGCCUGCUACCAACAUGUCAUCCACAUACAAUAGCAAAAUAAUGAAAUCAUUAUCUUCAAACCUUUUGUAAUAUUCACAAUUGUUUGAACUGAGUCUGUUGUAUCCAAGGCUCAUGAUAAAGGAAUCAAGUCUCUUAUACCAACAUCUCGGCGCCUGUUUGAGAUCGUAUAGAGAUUUGUUCAACCUGCAAACCAAAUUUUCCUUUCCUAUUUCUGCAAAACCUUCUUAUUGGAGCAUAUAUAUUUCUUCUUCAAGUUCUCUAUGAAGAAAUAUAAUUUUCACAUCCAACUGCUCAAGAUAUAAGUCAAAUGUAGCACACAUCGCUAAGACUACUCUGACUGUUGUGAGUCGAACUACCAGAGAAAAUAUCUCGUUGAAGUCAAUACUUUCUUUUUGAACAUAUCCUUUCACCACCAAUCUUGCACGAUACCGUUCCACUUGGUCAUUGCCAUCACGUUUGAUCUUAUAGACUCAUUUGUUUCCAAUAAUAUUUCUUCUACGUGGUAGUGGUACAAGUUCCCAUGUCUUGUUCUUGUGUAGAACCUCAAUUUCUUCCUGCAUUGCUGUCAUCCACAAAGUAACAUCUGAGCUGUUUAAAGUUUCAUGGAAAUUUGAAGACUCUCCAUCCUCUAUUAGAAGACAGUAAGCAAUAUUGAUCUCUGUGACAUACUCCGAGUGCCACACUAGCGGUUGUCUCUCACGAGUUGACUGACGAACUUCUGGAGCCUCGGACUCGACUGGUUCUUGUUCCUCGUGCUCUGGUGCUGCUUUAGAAGAAUCUGAAUCUUCUGGAUUAUUUUCCACGUAUACCUGCACAAUCUCUAACUUUUCUUUUACAGUGCCAUCAUCUCAAUCUUUCCUUUGCAGAUGAUCUUCUACAAAAAUAACAUCUCUGCUAAUGACGAUCUUGUGGGCAGUGGGGUCCCACAGACGAUACCUCUUUACUCCAUCAGCAUAUCUCAAUAAGAUACAUCUUCUAGAUUUUGGAUCUAGCUUUAUUCUUUCUUGGGCAUUGUAUAUCACGUACACGAGACAUCCAAAUGCAUGUAGGUAUGAGUAAUCAGCUGGCUUUCCAGUCCACAUCUUCAUCGUUGUCUUCAGCCCAAUUGCUAUAGAUGGUGACCGAUUUACUAUAUAACAGACAGUUUUGGCUGCUUUUGCCCAGAAUGAAUUAGGUAAACCAGCAGUCCUUAACAUAUCUCUUAUUCUUUCUGUAAGAGUUCUGUUUAUCCACUCUGCCACUCUGUUUUGUUGAGGAGUGUAUGCUAUCAUGAACCGCCUCUGAAUACCUUCUUGCUUACAGAAAGCAAGAAACUCGUCGUUUGUAUACCCUCCACCAUUAUCUGUCCUCAAGCACUUGAUCUUUUUACCAGAUUUAAGUUCCACCCGCGCUUUGUAUUCUUUAAACACUAGAAAAACAUCUGACUUUUUCUUAAUUAGAUACACCAACAUUUCCUAGAAUAAUCAUCAAUGAAAGUCACCAGUACUUUGCACCUCCUAUGGACAUAUCCGGUGAUUCCCAAACAUCAAAAUGAAUCAAGUCUAAAAUGCAGUUACUUCUAGCAACAGAUCUACAGAACUUUAAUCUAUACUGUUUACUUAUAACACAAUGCUCGCAAAAUGGUAAACUUACCGAUUUGAGCCAUGGAAGCAAUUUUCGCUCAGAGAGAAUCUUCAAACUUUGUUCCAACAUGUGGCCAAGUUUGAGGUGUCACAUCAUCGUUGAUUCUUCUCCAUUUGACGCGACACACACAUCAGCCUCCUAUAGUGUUUCUCCUUUAAGCAUGAAUAGAUUAGCAUCGAUCUUUUCUGCCUUCAUCAAUACAAGCGUGCCUUUAACGAUCUUUAUAAUUUCAUUCUCUAUAUGAGUUUUGUACCCAUGGCUAUCCAUUUGUCCCAAAGACAAUAGAUUUUUCUUCAUGCCGUUAACAUGUCGUACUUCCCCAAUUGUGCGAAUUGUACUAUCAAAUAUUUUUAUUUUGAUAGUACCAAUACCAGCGAUCUCCAAGGCAUGAUCAUCUCCCAUAUAUACAGAUCCUCCUGAGAUAGGUUCAUAUAUGAGGAACCAUUCUCUCCGAGAGGUCAUGUGCUAGGUAGCUCCUGAGUUUAUAAGGCAGACAUCAGAUAAUUGUUUUCUGCCUUCUGAAACAGUUGUUGCCUCGCUGUAGAGAAUUUUGCCAUCAUCUGAGGUACUUGCUACACACCCCUGAGCAUUUUAUAACUCGGGUUCUUUGCCUUCUUUUCUCUUCUGAUUACUCCAACACUCUUUCUUGAUGUGCCCUUUCUUACCACAGUUGUAGCAUUUAACAUUCUUCUUACUUCUGGAUUUUGAUCUACCAUGAUUGUGACUCCCACUGGGACCACGUUCCAUUGAUCUCCCUCUCGUCACUGAUAGCGCCUCCGCUUGCUACGAACUUGCUUGUCUGUUUUCUUUAUUUUUUUUGUCUGCUCUCCUCAUUUAAUACGGAGGCUGCAACAUCGUCGAAAACCAGACUAUCCGCUGGAUUUUUGUUCGUCAUGUUGAUGAUGAGUUGAUCAUAUGAAUCUGGUAGACUUUGAAGUAGAAGCUCUGCACGUUCAUUUGCCUCUAUAUUAUGACCCAACGUUGUGAGUUGUGAAAAUAGAGUCUUCAAGGUGUUGAUGUGUCAUUCGAAGAGUAUAGAGUUUCCUCUUCGAAGAGUAUAGAGUUUCCUCUUCAAGAAAUAAAUUUAUCAAAGAUAAAAUGGAGACAAAUGUAAAUAAAAAAAAAUGAAAAAGCAAUAAAUUAUUGAAGUUGUUUGUGAGUUUAUUCGACAGAUAAUGGAUGCGUAUGCCUUACCUGCUAUUAAGAUUAAUUAGCUUCUUCAUUAACCGAAUACGAAAUAUUGAGGGGGAAAAAAACACAUAAUUGAAUCUUGAUUAAGCUAAAAGAAAUAACUCUGUUCAACCCACAUAGGGAGAGCAAUACGGCUACUAGACUUAUCCAUAAAAUGGGGGACAAUACUAUCAUCUCGAAUAUCAUAGAUUCCCAUGUUCUUACCGUUUACUUUCCAUUUAUCAGUGAAUUGUAUUUCUACUUGAGAACAAUCAGUAAAGUAUAUGCAAUUUCGUUCGCAGAUCGAGGAGUCCAAUAUUUCAAUAGAAAAAGAAGAAUUAAGACCCAAGAAGAGUGCUCUAUUUCCCAAAUCCUUGACCUUCGUCCAUGUAUUAGUGGUUAAAUCCACCUCAAAAACCUGAAACUUAUUCGCUCUACUUCGUGUGACAACCACCAAUGCCCCUCCAGAUUCUACCAAAUAUAGUAUUGAAGAGGACAUAAGUAACGAGAUUGACAUCCGUGCCACAACAAUCAAGUUAUUAGGAACGUGACCAGUAAAAUCACAAACAAAUAUAUAACCGAGCCAAUUUAUAGCAUAAAACCUGCCUUUGUGAUAAAUAACAUCAUGAAACCUGUACCAAUUCCCAGUGUCUACAGUGAUCCAAGUUUCUUGGCCUGGUUUAAAAUAAGCUAGUCUUCUUUCACUUCCACAAACAACCAUUACCGUAUAAUCAGAGUGUCGCUCCAAAUUACUCGCAGAAACAACAAAUUUUUUGAAGAAGAAGGGAUGGUCGACGCAAUAUUCCCAGGGCAUAAACGUACGUAUGUUCGGAAGUUCAAGUUGAACCCAUGAAAAGGAUUCAAAAGACUUGCAUUUAGAUUUUGAACAUGGAGUCUCAGAAGCCAACCCUUGGAAGAAAGGCAGUUCCUGUGGGAAUUUGCUUCUGGUAACAAAAUACGGCGGCUCAUGCCCCUUGACAGACUGAAGAAACCACGUUGAUUAAUAUCGCCGCAAUUUAGUGGCAUAUGCAUAAGGAGAGGCAUCUGAUUAAACUUGUACAUAAAUUUUUUGAUAGCUGCAGCCCAUCUCCAUGAAGUACAAACCCAACGAAAAGAAACAAAAUCCUCGUACAAUUUUAUCCGCCCAGCAAUUUCGACCAACAGAUCAUGAUGAAGUUCCGAUCGACCAAUUCGCCAUUUCAGAGGCCACUCGACUAGAGAUUAAUUGAAAUACCCUAACCCCUUAAGACUAAUCUCGCUCUCUCUCUCUUGUUGAAAAUUGAGUAAAAAAAAAAAGAGAGUUGAAAAGUCAAUUUGGAAGAUAUCAUUUGAAUUCAAUUUGGAGAUAGUCGAGAAGUUUGAUAAGCAAUUAGAAGUGGUCAAAACUAUUGAAAUGGUGGCUAUUGAAUGUUGAAAAAUUGGCUUGAUUUUAGGCAAAAUCUUGCCUAUAAAAGGAAGCUCUCAUUUGAGAGCUUGGCAUCCCAAAUCCCAGAGAUGGAAUCCAAGUUUUGGUGAGAAAUUAAGAGGGAGAAAUAUUCUUAAGCAUGUAGUUAUAUUGAAGGAGCAUUUGGCUCCUCAAUACAGGUAUUAUGGGUUUGCUUUGUUAAGGGAUAUUUCUCAAGAUUAUGUAUUUGGGGCUUGGGUGAGAGAAAAUUUAUGAGAGUGUGGUUGUAAUAAUUUUCCACAUAGUGAAUAUUUUUUUUUCUCUGGUUGUCUUGUGACAACGGCCGUGGUUUUUCUCCGGAUUUAGAGUUUUCCACGUAAAUCUUGUGUUGUGUGAUUGGUAUAUUCUCCAUUCAAUUUUUCUUAUUAAUUUGUUGCUUGAUAAAUUGCUUGGAGAGAUCUUGGGAGGAAACUCAAUUUCCUAACAGUGGUNNNNNNNNNNNNNNNNNNNNNNNNNNNNNNNNNNNNNNNNNNNNNNNNNNNNNNNNNNNNNNNNNNNNNNNNNNNNNNNNNNNNNNNNNNNNNNNNNNNNNNNNNNNNNNNNNNNNNNNNNNNNNNNNNNNNNNNNNNNNNUUUUGGCACCUCAAGAAAAUUGUCAAGAAGGUGGAGUGGGCUCGGUAAAUUACUCCAGAAUCAGUAAAGGAGAUAAUGAUAUUCUCGUAGAUAGUGAGUUUCCUUUUGAUAGGAGAUUGGGUUAGUUCUUUUGGCAUGUAAAUCUCCAAGUUGCCAUGAAAGAGAACAUGCUAUGAUCAGCGGGGUACACAAGUUUGCACGCGGGCAUUGGCUUGGUAUAAAUGCAAGGUGUGUGAUGGAAAAGUUAUGUCAUGGCUGAAGAAUUCUCAGGGAAACCAAGCAUGAGAAUUGCACCAUAAUUUUCAGCGGAUAUGUUCGACAUGUGCCGAAAAAAAAAAAUCUUAGAAUGGUUAAUUCUAAGUGUUAUACUCUUUAUGGUGGAGUAUGAUAAUUCUCUAUGUUGAGAAUUAUGACUGUUGGUGAAGACAGUGCUUUGUAACAUUAGUUAUGAAUUUUUUUUUUUUUUUUUAUCAAGGUGGAGAUUGUUGAAAAUUGAUUAAAAAAAAAAGAGUUGAAAAGUCAAUUUGGAAGAUAUCAUUUGAAUUCAAUUUGGAGAUAGUCGAGAAGUUUGAUAAGCAAUUGGAAGUGGUCAAAACUAUUGAAAUGGUGGCUAUUGAAUGUUGAAAAUUUGGUGAGAAAUUAAGAGGGAGAAAUAUUCUUAAGCAUGUAGUUAUAUUGAAGGAGCAUUUGGCUCCUCAAUACAGGUAUUAUGGGUUUGCUUUGUUAAGGGAUAUUUCUCAAGAUUAUGUAUUUGGGGCUUGGGUGAGAGAAAAUUUAUGAGAGUGUGGUUGUAAUAAUUUUCCACAUAGUGAAUAUUUUUUUUUCUCUGGUUGUCUUGUGACAACGGCCGUGGUUUUUCUCCGGAUUUAGAGUUUUCCACGUAAAUCUUGUGUUGUGUGAUUGGUAUAUUCUCCAUUCAAUUUUUCUUAUUAAUUUGUUGCUUGAUAAAUUGCUUGGAGAGAUCUUGGGAGGAAACUCAAUUUCCUAACAUCUCUCUCUAUCUAUAUAUAUAUAUAGUGUAUGUUAACUAGAAAACCUUUUUCAAAUCGGAGGCGUACAAAAAAUUAACAUAGUAAUUUUGUACAUUGCGACAAGAAUCUAGUUAUGAAUUCUACUAAAAUCAGGAAAAGCAAGUCAAUUCCAAAUAGAACAAGAGUGGUAAAAUUGAAAUAACAAAAGUACUAUUCAAAUAAGAAAACUAGUAUGGGCUUGUAUGUAUCUGUCAAUUGGAUUCGGCCAAUAGCCAGUGCACGACCCACCAAAACUAGUGGGCAAUGAUCUCGUUAGCCAUUAUGGUUCUGUCAAUUAUACAUUAUGUGUUAGAUUGAAGACGUAGAAAAGGUGAACUUAAUGAGGAAAAAAGAAAGAAAGAAAGAAAGACGUCGUAAUAAUUUCUUUGUAAUGCUGCUAACCUAAGAUAAAUUGAAUCAAAUAGAAAUAGAACUGGGGUACGUGUGGUUGAGCUUGCUUUUGUUAAAUGGACAUCUCGUUCCCCUCUAAAUAUUCCCCUCUUGCCAUGUUUGCUCGCGGUGAAUUUUGUCAAAUUCUUUGGUUCUUUUCGAACCAGAGACGUGAAAAAAGAUUAAAUAAAUAAAAAAUAAUCAUAAUUUCAUUCUGUUAUUCCACAUUAUAUUUAGUUAUAGUAGGAUAAGGUCAAUCAAGUCAAAUCAAUCAUGAGUUUCAUUUGACUGGAUACUUGAGUUCUAACCCCCUUAAAAAAUAAAAAUGUCAAAAUAUGAAUAGUUUCUAUAUAUUGCUCAAGGAAAAUCAAGAGAAAAAUUAGAAUCAAUCAAGCACGGAGAAUUGCAAGGAGAAUAAUGGAUACUUAAACAAUAUACUGUUUUUAAUUACAAUAUAAUCUCCAAUGAUCUUAGAAACAAAUAAUUACUUAUGAAGCAUUGCAAGUAGUUUAUGUUGAAGUAAAAUAGAAACGUAAUUAAGAAUGAAAAAUACGUCAACAUUGUAGCUGCUUCUAAUUUUAGGCAGCAAAAUAAAUUUGAAAUCAAAUAUACAAACCAAUUUUUUUUAAAAAAAUAAAAUCUAAUCGUAAGUAAGCUAACUAAAAUAAUUAUGUUCAAGCCACAUGGAGAGAGCAAUACGGCUACUAGACGUACCCGUAAAAUGUGGGACAAUGCUACCGCGUCCAAUGCCGUAGAUUCCCAUGUCCUUGCCCUCAUUGGAGCCCCUUUCUACUUGACAAUCAUCAGUGAAAUAUGCCCCUCCUGAUUCUACCAAAUAUUACCGCUGCCCCAACGAAGACCAAGACAUUUAACACUUGUGCCAUAACCGUCAAAUUAAAUUAGAAUCCUCAGCACUAAAAUCACAAACAACUAUCCGCCCACACUUAGCUACAGCUAGAAUAAAACUUAUCUUUGUGACAAAUAACAACAAGCCUCUCCCAUUCCAAGUGUGUACACUGAUCCAAGAUUUUCGGCCUUGUUGGAAAUAACCAUUACUAUGUAAUCAGAGUUUUCCAGGUUACUCAAUGACACAAUAAAUCGUUUGAAGAAAAUGGAUUGGUGAUCUCGUUGAGGAAAUUCCCUAUAUUAUUACUACAACGUGUUCUAAAUGUGGUCGGAAGUUGAAUUUGAACACGUUAGAAAGGAUGCAAAAGAGACUUACAUUGCAAUUUCGAGCGUCAAAUGUUAGAAGCCAACCAUUUGAAGAAAGGCAGUUCCUGCAGGAAUUUGCUUCUGAUAACAAAACACGGUCGCUUAUGCCUUUGAAAGACUGAAGAAACCACAUUUGCUAUUGCUGCAAUUUAGUGGCAGAUGCAUAAGGAGAUGCAUCUGAUUAAACUUGUUCUUUUAAAUGUCAUUAUAUUCAGUUGUUAUUUUGUUUUGUUGACAAUAAUUUGUUUAGGUGUCAGUUAUUUAGGACCUAGUCAAGUAAGUGGUGGACUUAGUCUACGACUUGGUAGGAAUUAUUGCCCACUUACCUUUUUUUCAUGCUUAGAGUUGCCUGUCUUUAGGAAUAACCGUUGUCUUUUUGUUUAUAAAGGUUCAGUAAAUAAAGAUGCAUAGGUAACUCUGAAUUUGAACAACACCGGUGUGUUUCACAGGGAGGUGCAGGGUCUCUCGAACGAUUCUGAUUUAUUUUCUUGCUUUCCUUCUUAAAUAUUUCAUCUUGCAUCCAAAAUGUUAGGCAGGACUAACAAGACUGAUUCAAGCUCGCUGUACCAUGUUCGUAAAGCUGUUGAUAGUGCCAGCCAAUCUCCGUGAAGUACAAACCCAACAAAAAGAAACAAAGUCUUCAUACAAUUAACUAUUUGAAGAAUAAAUGUGACAUUUUAAUUGGAAAAUUAACUAAUUGAAGCCAAGAUCUAGAUCCAGUGGUAAAGUGCAAUUUUUAUAGAUUUCAAGUUUUGCGUUUGAAUUUGAAUGGGUGAGUAAAUUAAUAAUAAUAAUAAAACAAAUUAACUAGUUUUAAUCUACAGAGGUCUUAGAUCAUCAAAUAAUGAUAGAACCUCGAAUUUCAUAAAUUUUAAGUUGAAUGAUUACAUUAUUUCACCAUCUAGUGAAUAAAUGCCAAAUUAUUUAAGAAAAAUUUUGAAAAUAAAAUUUUGAGAUAUAUAUCACUACUCAAUUAAAUGUAGUAUAAAAAAUACAUCAGGGACCAAAAAUAUAAAAAUCCAUUAGAAAUUAAAAAAAAAUAUAAAAGUCAAUUUCUGAUUAGAAGAAUUAAAAUAUCAUUCUCCUAUAAUCAUUUCACUAGAUUUUAUAUAUAUUUAUUACAGCAAAAUUAAAAUAAAAAAUUGGCACCUAACCCUAACGUCUUUGACAUUGCUACCAAUAUCACUCACUCACAACUUACAAGAAUGAAUCUAGACUUAAUUUUCCCAGGGAAUUUUUAGUUUGACUUUACAUUUUCAGACCCAUUUGCCACAUAACACCUUAGUUGGUUAACAAAGCCCUUUCAUGAGAAUAUUAAAACUGCUGUCGAAUAAGCAUCUUAACAACCCCUUUUUUGACAUACAUGCAUGCCUCCUUAUGUGAAGAAAUUUGAAACAUAAAAGAAAAUUUCAAUCGAUGUGAGAGUUGGGAGUAUUUUAUAGCUUUUCUCCUCAUUAAUUAUGAAUUAAGAGAAUAUUUCUACGUCACUAAUGAUUAAAAUGAUCACUAUAUAAAGGGUAGCAAAGUAUGUUUAACAUCAAGUCAGAAAACACAAUUUUAAGGAAAUGGGAACUCGGGGACAGGCGAGGCAAUGGCCUCAAUUGUUUUGUGCUAUGGCAUUUUUGCUUAUAGCCACCACCACCAAGGCAUCGGCUGAUGAUUAUGCCUCAGCACCACCACCAAAGCAUUCUCCUCCACCUCCUUACGACUACAAAUCACCACCUCCUCCUUCUCCCUCUCCACCGCCACCAUAUUAUUACAAGUCUCCCCCACCACCAUCUCCAUCUCUUCCACCGCCUUACUACUAUAAAUCACCACCUCCACCAAAAUAUUCUCCUCCACCACCUUACUACUAUAAGUCACCACCUCCACCAGUGAAAUCUCCACCUCCGCCAUAUUACUAUAAAUCACCACCACCACCAAAACAUUCUCCCCCGCCACCUUACUAUUACAAGUCACCACCACUACCAGUGCAUUCUCCCCCACCGCCUUACUAUUACAAAUCUCCGCCAACACCAAAGCAUUCUCCCCCGCCACCUUACUACUACAAAUCUCCACCACCACCAAAACAUUCCCCACCACCACCUUACUACUAUAAGUCACCGCCUCCACCAGUAAAGUCUCCACCACCGCCACCAAAGUAUUCUCCCCCACCAC
rnacentral:lncRNA from 1 species